CAGAUCUUGUUGAUCUUGUCGGCCAUCACGACGGGGUUCUGCUUGGCGAUCUGCUCCCUGGCCGCCGUCUUGUAGUCGAAGGUGCACUGGUGAGAGUCCGUGUAGCGGUGCGUGGAGCAGAAGGUCCCGCCGCAGCGGCACUGGAACCCAGUCAGACCCACCUUCUUGCGGCAGCUCAGGCACCGGUUGCUCGGCGGCUUUGGGUUUGGGGGCUGCUGCUGCUCCUGUGCCGCUGCUUCUUCUGCUUGCUUGUUGUCUACUACGGCUUCGGCAGCGGCGGCGGCGGGAGCAUCGUGUAGCUUGAUGAAGUCCUUAUAGCACUUGGAGCACAUCUUGUUUGUCAUGCUACUGCCGAAGAAGCCACAAUUGUUUAUGCACUGAAUUGGGGCCUCUCCAGUCUCCUCGGACUCUUGUUUCCAGCUCUCGUGUGCCAUUGUUACCAAGAAUUGGCUGCAGGGAUAAAAGUUCACAGUUCAUUAGCAAGAGAUGGGUAUGCAGACAUAAGAAAGCAAAUAAGUAAUGGCAGAAAGUAAGUAAAGAGUGAUAAGAAGACAGAAAUACAUGAUUCAGGUUCGAAAAAAAAUUACAACCCUGGAACUAUAAAUGUUGUGUAGACAGAAACUAAGAGGAAAUUACCAGCGCUGGAUUGAAUUCAUAUAAAGGAUUGCAGCAAAUUACAAUAAUCCUUGUAUCCUUUAAAGAAUGAGGUUCAGACCAUCAGCUAAAAAAAAAACAAAUCUGAAUUGCAAAGGGGCACACACACACAUGAAUAAUCCCAGGUUAACGAUCAACGAUGUUUAUGCCAAUUUUAUCGUAACAUGUCAUUUCUCUCCAAGGUCUUUCAAAUAGUUAUCUGAUAAACACACAGCCUGGAUUAUUCAGAUAAGCAGCAGCUGCAGGCAAAGGGCAUGUUAGCAAUCAGCACCCAAUGCCAAAAGUUGAUUCAAAUACCAAAGUCAGUGUCCAAUGUAAGUUGACUGAUUGAAACAUCAAAAGUUGCUACCAUGAUUCUUUAUUCCUGACAAGAUUAAUUAAAUUAGCACAUACCACCAGGUUGCAUAUUAAGCUGCAAUACUGAAAACAAAACACGAUCUUCUUAUCUGUCAGCUUAUAUCAAGCACAAGCAGAGCGAAGUAAAGAUCGACAAGCGCAUAUCCAACCUGCACAGCAGCAAUGGUAUCGUUAGCCAACAACACACACCCCAGGUCUUGUGUGUCAGGCCGCACCCCAGGUGGCCUCGGGCCAGCCGGCUGAGGGAGCCCGCGGCGGCCAUGGAGCUGAGCGGGAGGUCAGUGGAGCAGGGAGCGGCUGUGGUGGUGCUUCGUUCGGUCGCCGGCGAUGGCGUCCGCGCCUGUACGUGCGCGCCGAGCGGGAGGAAGAGCGAGCGAGUGCGAGAAUGGGAGAGCAGAGACAGAGAGCGGCGCCGGGAGAACGGAGAGCGCUGGGCUCCGUUUCUUGCUGUUCGUAGAGGCGAUGUGGCGGGCAUGCGAGCAAAGCACGACUGCCUAGGGCCACGCGGCGCGCGGCUUCUGCUCCCGGUCGCUCACGCGUGUCAGCGCGGUUCAGGCGAUUCCUCCAGAAUAUUUUACAAAAUUUUUCACAUUUACCAUCACAUUAAAUUUUACGACAUAUAUAAAUAACUAAUUACACAGUUUAUCUAUAAUUUACGAGAUAAAUCUUUUGAGCCUAGUUAAUCUAUAAUUAGACAAUAAUUAUAAAAUACAAACGAAAAUACUACUAUUUAUAUUUUACAAAAGAAAUUUGGAAGUAAACAAGAUCUGAUGAGACCUAUCUAUAGCUGUAUGAAAUCAUGCAUCAGGGAGAGAACAGAGUCAAUUUGCAAAAUCCAAAAGAAUUCUGCUAAUAGGAUGAAGAAAACCAAUCUGUUAUCCCUUAGAUUUGUACUUGCAGUCUACGAAAGAAUGCAAAUUACCGAGAGGGUCAAACCGUCAUGAGUUUGACUAUUUGUUUUAAGAAAAUGUUUAAAAGUUUAUGACGUACCAUGUGUUGUUGGAUGGCUAUAAUAUUUGCUACUUUUAAGUCUUGAUGAUGAGCAGGAGCUCCAGAUCCUGAUGAUCACCAACCGACAAGAUGUACUGGACUUGUAUUAUAAUAUCAGCUAGUAGGAUUAAAGAUUCCACAUUUAACUUGAAGUGAUGGAAUAAGUUAAGAAAGAUGCACUGAAUUUAAAGUUGAAUUUCUGAACAUUCAGGCGAGCAAGGCCUUCCAAUUUAUGGAAUGAAUUGAGACUCAUAAUGCUUUGAAAUAGAUCUGGUUGAGUUUUUGAACAUUUAGGCGAACAAGUAGCCUUCAAAUUUGGAAGGACAUGGGAUCUACUUUGGAAAAAGGAAACAGAAGGCCUGUGUCAAGGAAACAUUAAUCUGAAUGUGCAUAGGUGCGCAAAGGACAUGGAUCUAAUAAUGCAUUUGUACUAGGUUUCACCUAAUACAAAUGCAUUGAUGGGUCUGUUGCUGAACAUGAAACCCAACCCGAAAUGUUUCGGAGACAAUUGGAUCCAGGCGUGAUGUUGGCCCAGACGGGAUCGUGUUGGGACUUAUUUACGUCUUGUUUAGUUCACCUAAAAAUAAAAAACUAGCCAUUAAUUCAUUAGUGGACAAGCAUGGACUAGAACGAAGGUUCACGCAAUGCAUCUAGUUUACUUUUUGUCACGUAUCCAAACAACCAGAAAAUUGUAUUUUUAGCAGCUCAAACAAUACGCUUUACAAAACUAACAUCCAGAAUAUUGUUCGUAUAAAAAUAGCAGCCCAAACAAUUGCUUGUUAUUUUCAUUACCAUUUUUCCUUUUUCUCUUUAUUUCUCCUAAAAUCUAGACGAAUUUGCCUUUUUGCUAAUUUCAUGUAACCAGCCGCCCCGCCGCCGGUUCUGGUUCGUACUUCCUCCACCUUAAAUUGUAAGUCAUUUCAAGAAUCUCGGAGAGUUAAAGUAUAUCAAGUUUGACCAAUAUUAUAGAAAGAACUAUAAACUUUUAUGUCAUCAAAGAGAUAUAUACUAUGAAAAUAUAAGUAAUGAAGAACCUAAUGAGACUUACUAGUUGAUAUCAUAAAUUUUGUUCUAGGCGAUGUAAACAGAGCCUUAAUACACCUCUAAUUCCACGAGUCAAGAUGGUGUUACCAUCAUUUGCCUCGCCCUCUCGUGAUUUCCCUUUCUACUAGUAGUUUCUACCCGUGAUAGAGACCCAGCACAGAGCGAAGCUAUAAGCGGCUGACACCACGAAAGGCUAAGGGCCUGUUUAGUUUCCCACCCAAAAUUUUUUCAUCCAUCCCAUCGAAUCUUUGGACACAUGUAUAGAACAUUAAAUGUAGAUAAAAAAAUAAACUAAUUACACAGUUUAGUUAAGAAUUGUGAGACGAAUCUUUUAAGCCUAGUUACUCCAUGAUUAGCCUUAAGUGCUACAGUAACCCACAUAUGCUAAUGACAGAUUAAUUAUGCUUAAUAAAUUUGUCUUGCAGUUUCCUGACGAGCUAUGUAAUUUGUUUUUUUAUUAGUUUCUAAAAACCCCUCCCGACAUCCUUCCGACACAUUCGAUGUGACACCCCAAAAAAUUUCGUUCCCAAUCUAAACAGGCCCUAACACCAGGGAGCAUUGCCAGUCAACCCCUCCUCCCAUUCCGGCAGUGUUUUGCUCUCCAAGCAACAACAACUAUACCCCAUGAGUCGUCUGAUCUGAUGGAUGACCAUACUCUGAUGAAUCCCAUGUACUCAAACCAUCUCUCAACAGGCGUUGCUUUCCAACAGACGCACUGAUCACGGGUACAGCAAAGAAUUGCCAAGGCAAUUGCAUUGCAUGUGGACAUCCAUGAUUCACAACUCCCACAAAAGAACGUCACAAGAAACGGACUUGACAUCUAUCUAUAGGCUUAUCUUUACGUACUACCUCUAUCUCAUCGCAUACAAUACACUUCUUGCCAAGAUAAGCUUCAGGCUUGCUGUGACUUCCAGGCUUCCAGCACCGAGUGAUGAUAAUGUACAAUACCGAUGACGACAUGUCAAUACACCACUUGCUGGCCUUCAGGUCAGAAUGCACGUCUCAAAAGAACUUCCAGCGGAAGCGACGAGCCGACGACGACGGAAAACCACGGCAUACUUUCACCACAAACUAUACGGCUAAUAAAGCGAUAGCACAAGCUGCCAUUUCAGCUGAGGAUCCAAACCCAGCUUUCCUUCAGAUCGAAUAGUUCUUGAGAUUUUACUUGAUAUAUGCACAGAACCAAGACUGGACGAAACUUGAAAGAUAUUCAACGAAAAAAAUAAACCAGCAAUCGGUAAUAGUAAUUAGGAAGCAAUAGGAUUAAAUUACAGUUUGAAUAGGGCAUAUAUUUACAUUAUUACACAAUCGAGAGAAUGAAACCAUGAUAAAAAGGAGAAGGAUAGACACAAUUGAGAGACCCCACCCCACCCCCCAACUAACACACUACUAACCCAGACCUCCCCACCUGACUGACGACCUGAAGGAACCUAUCGAUCCGAGCGAACACUUGACUGAACCCAGGCACGGGACACGAACGAAUCCAGAGAUCCAUCCUUCGACGAUGAAUGACCGCUCAUCAGUCAGAUCUUGUUGAUCUUCUCGGCCAUCACGACAGGGUUCUGCUUGGCGAUCUGCUCCCUGGCCGCUGUCUUGUAGUCGAAGGUGCACUGGUGGGAGUCCGUGUAGCGGUGCAUGGAGCAGAAGGUUCCACCGCAGCGGCACUGGAACCCAGUCAGCCCCACCUUCUUGCGGCACGUCAGGCACCGGUUGCUCGGCGGCUUUGGGGGCUCCUCCUGUGCUGCUUGCUUGUCGUCUACAGCUGCGGCUGCUUCAGCAGCAGCAGCAGCAGCAGCGGUGGGCAAUGCGUCUCGCUUUGCUGCCUCUAGUGGCAGCACUGCAGAGGAUGAUGCCCCUGCUAUAACCUUCUUCUCCACCACAGGGGUUUCCAUCAACUUGAUGAAGUCCCUAUAGCACUUCGAGCACAUAUUGUUUGUCAUGCUGCUGCCGAAGAAACCACAAUUGUUUAUGCACAGAAUCGGGGCCUCAGGGGCAUGGACUCCAGUUUCCUCAGACUCUUGUUUCCAGCUCUCUUGUGCCAUUGCUGCUAUCAACAGGCUGCAGGGACAAAAAAGUUCACAGUUAAUUAGAAGGAAAAUAAGAACACAAAAGCCCAGUAAGUAAGAGUGACAAAAAAGACAGAAAUACAUGAUUCAGGUUCGGAAAGAAAUACAACCCAAUGUCCAACAGUUGGAACUACAAAUGUAGCACAGAACACAGAAACUUAGGACAUUAGCAGUGCUGGGUUGAAUCAUGAAAAGGAGGGCAGCAAAUUUCAAUCCUUGUUUCCUUUAUGGAAUGCAACUGUUUCAUACAAUCAGCAAAAAACAAUUCUGAAUUGCAAAAGGGCACAAAUGAACAAUCCCAGGCUAUCAAUGUUCCUGUCAAUUUUAUCCCAAUGCGUCAUUCUGCAAGGUCUUUCAAAUAGUUCUAGUUACUCAGCCCAGAUUAUUCACAUAAGCAGUAGCUGCAGGGAAAGGACAUGUUAGCAAUUAGCAGUUCAGCACCCAGAUUGUUUCAAACAUCAAAAGCUAAUGUAAUAUGAUAUUAUGAUUCCAUCUGCAGUCCAUUGUAAGUUGAUUGAUUGAAACAUCAACAAUUGCUACCAUGGUUCUUCCUGAUAAGACUAGUUAUUACUAGCACAUACCACCAGGUUGCAUAUUAAAUUGUAAUACCGAAAACAGUAAGAAACACUAUCGUAUCUGUCAGCUUAAGCAGAACAAAGCAAAAGACAAGCACAUCGAACCUGCAGAGCAGCAAUGGUACUGUUAGGCAGCAACACGCACCACAGGUCUUCUGUGUUAGCUGAUCUAAUUGUGCUUGAGCACUAUCUCAUCCUUAUUGGAUAUCCUAUAUAAACAACUGAAGCUCUGCACCCAUGGUUAAUCAACCGCGUCUUCUGUGUUAGCUGAUCUAAUUGUGCUUGAGCACCAUCCCAUCCUUAUUGGAUAUCCUAUAUAAACAACUUUAGCUCUGCACCCAUGGUUAAUCAACCGCCUCACACAACCACAGCGUGAAGCCACAGCCCUCUUGGUUGCUCUGCAAGUAAAGAUUGCUUAUGCACCACCAACACAAGGCACACAACUGGCAGCAAUCAGGUGAAGCAACCUAUGCAGGUGAUGAAGCAACCUAGGCCUGACCCUCUGGAAUCCCCUCACCCAGCUGCACACACAAUUCACGCAGUCAAACUUAAUCGCAGCAAUUCCAGCCAUACGCACAAACAAUUGCCCUUGCCAGUUGCCAUGGUCACAACGAAACCUCUUGCCGCAAUCGACCCACGGUCACGGAUGUGACCGGCACGUCUAAGGAAACUCGCGCUUAAUCCAAGCCAAGGCAUGUGAUAAUCCGAAAGAGCUUCCUGAUCAGCGUAUGCCUCCUGACGUGCUCCAUGAUUCAGCACCAUGCUCACAUGUGGUGCGAGGGAUGAUAAUAGAGCCCUGCCAUGCACCCAUCGCGGGCAUGGAUGAUGAACUUUCCCCAACCGCCGGCGACCAACCCACCAAUUUGUUCACCACCAAGCCACCCCUAGCAUCACUCGCCCGAUCUUGCUUCACCGAUUCACUAGCCUAGAAACAAAAACCACGGCACAAAGAUUCGGGAAGAAUUAAUACAGAGGAAACAAAUCCAAAUUCGAGCCCCACAGAAAUCAUCUCCUCCAAUUCCAAAAACUGCACGACGACGGCACCAACCCACCACAGCGGUCAACCCAACCCAAUCCGCCGCGCAGAUCCAAGCGAAUCGCUACUCGCCGAUCCACUCCGCCAAUCGCAACACCACCCCAACCUAGUACAAAUCAGCCAGCCGCCUCGAAAUUUCCAACUCUACUAAAAACAAGGAAUAAAAAAACACAUACAUCAGGACACGCCGCGAACCCGGCCAGCGACGGGCCUGAGACCGAAGGCGGAGACGCGCGCGCGCGCCCCGGAUCGAUCGGCCGGCCGGCCGGCCGGUGCGGAGGGAUCAGAUCUGGGUCCGUGGAGGAGGAGGAAGGCUGGAGGGAGAGGCGGCGAGCGGCGGGACCAACCUGUGGGCGAGACGGCACGCGACUUUUUCCCCCAGAGGAGAAUUUCUUUUCCUUUUUUUUUGUUUUUUUCCUUUUCUUUUUUUCCUGUUUUGGCGUCGAGAGUCGAGAGGGGAGGGAGGGAGAGAGGUAGGCGAAGAGAAGGUGAAGGGGGGCUUAUUUCGGGCUUGGCGUGCGCUUAUAAAGGCCAGCGCGUUUCGCAGGCGUCGCCGCUGCGAUUACGCGUCAGAUCAGAUUAGAUUAGUAUUUUAUUUAAUUAUAUUUUUAAUUAAUUAAUUAAAAACAUGUCCCGCGUAUUAAACUGGGUGGUUAGUGUGUGGACCCUUCUAGACGCGCGGAGACGGCCGGCACUGGCACAGUGGCACCCGUGUGGCUGCGGGUGGGGCCCGGUAUGGUGGUGGAGGCGGGGCCCGCGUGUCAGGCGUGAAGGGCGUUGGUUCGCGCGUGGGUGGUGUCCACGGUGGACCGUGGGGGAAAAAGCCUGGCGCGGUGGGGGCCACUUGCCCUUGAUGGUGGCCUUUGAUGGGGUUCUCGCUUUUGGCUCUGGCAGGUGGGGGACGACGUGGCUCCUCUGGGUCCACAUGGAAUCGUACGUGUGACUUUACAGCGACUUGGACUGCUGAGUGCGAGUGAGGUAUGCAUGUUCGGCACUUCCUUUUGGGCCUUGUUUAGUUCGUAAAAAAAAGAGUGUUAUCUCGUCCCUAAAUUUGUUUAAUUGUGUCAUCCCGGUCCCUAAACUUAGAAAUCAUCCGUUUAGAUCCUCAAAGUUGUUCAGUUGUGUCAUCUCGGUCCCUAAGCUUGGUUUUGAAUCUCAUCUAGGUUAAAACAAAGCGAUCUAACAACUUUAUAUCAAAAAAUAAUUCAUAACUUUUUCAUAUGAACUCAAAUGAAGACAAAUUUUAUACCAAAGUUAUAGUCCUCAGCACAAUCUACAACUUUGUAGUUGAAAAGUUUUUUAUUUGAAGUCGUUUAGUGUUAUAAAAUUUAAUUUUAAAUUUUAAAUUCUAUAAACUUAUAAAAAAAAUUUGGGAACCUAAACGAUUUUAAUUUAAAAACUUUUCAACUGCAAAGUUGUAGAUCGUGUUGCUACCUACAAUUUUGAUAUAAAGUUUAUCUUUAUUUGAGUUCAUAUGAAAAUGUUAUGAAUUCUUUUUCAAUAUAGAGUUUUUAGAUUCGUCCUGUUUUGACCCAGAUAAGACUUAAAAACAAGUUUAGGGACCGGAAUGACACAACUGAACAAGUUUGAGGACCUAUAUGGGAGAUUUUUAAGUUUAGGGACCAGGAUGACACAACCGAACAAGUUUAGGUACCUAAACGGUCAUUUUGCGAGUUUAAGGACCGGGAUGACACAUCCUAACAAGUUUAGGGACCGCUGAUGCACUUUACUCUAAAAAAAUUAUAAUUGUUUUUAGAUUUUUUAUUACAUUAAAUCUUAUAGCAUAUAAAUAAAGUAUUAAAUAUAAAUAAAAUAAAUAACUAAUUGUAUAAUUUAUUUGUAAUUUACGAGAUACAUAUUUUAAGUCUAGUUAGUAUAUAAUUAAAUAAUAUUUUUAAAUAUAAACAGAAGUGCUACAGUAUUUAUUUUGCAAAAUCUUUUAGAACGGAACAAGGUCUUGAUUGGGCUGCACGCUGCACGUUUCGAUCAUUUAUUUUUUUUAAAUGCACGUUUCGAUCAAUUGUUGGUGUACUGUGUUAGUGUAAGAUGAUAAACAUGAUGAUCUGCAUGACUGCAUUGUUCCAAUAACCUUUUUCAUGAUGAUCUGCAUUGUUAUGAUACAAGAAAAGUCUUGAGUAUUUUGAAUGUGAAAGCGAAUCUAAGUGGAAUUUAUUUUCACUUAUCAAGUAUCUAUGUCUCUAUAUGUAUUUAUAGUAAUACAUCAGUUAUGCGAAAUUGAUCAUAAAUUAAUUAGUUAGAUUCCUUGUGGCGGAACCUAUCUUCUCAAGUUCAACUGCUCGAUUUGGCGCGGUUACUCGCAUUUUUCUUGGAUUUAUUUCAGAUUUAACAACAUUAUACUUUUAGUAAUUCACGAUGUUGCGAGUGCUAUGAUUUUAGUGAUAGAUAACGUUCCACUCGACAGCAAGGUGUCUAUGGUGAGUUGGUGACUUCGUGCCGGCUUAGUUUUUCGAGGGUACUCUAGGGAUGAGUGUGCGUGUGUUGUGAGUGUUUGCGUUGUACUGUGUAAUUUUAAAAAAUACAUAUAAAAUUAUUAGAAUAAAAAUAUUUAAGAUUUAAUCCCUCUGUUAGGUGAUGCAUAGCAAAAAGAAAAGUUAAAGCGAUUUAUAAUUUGAAACAGAGAAAAAAUUAGAUAGUAUGCCAUAUUACUUCCCGUAGCGCCCUUAUGUGUUUCUCUUUUCUAGCCAUGACCUAUGACUUACCACAAUUCAAAAUCCAAUAUGACAUAUUGUAAUGCUAUUGUUGCAUACGAGUCGUAAGUUCUCCAUGUGACCAAACAUCAAGUUGUACAUUCCGUUAAAGAAAAGAUAAAUAUACCAUUAUGGAUAUGUACAACCACCAUGGGCAGCCGUGGAUAGUGGCGGAGACCUAGUAGAAAAAAGAUCAUGGAUGUGACAAACUUUAGCUACUCUAUAUACAGGUAUAGAGGCGUAGAGCGAACUUUAGAUGCAAGGUACACCAAAAGCAAAAAAAAAAAAGGGACUACAAACAUGCAUGGUAAAGGUACAUAAUAUAGUAAACGGUGAGAGAACGAUGGUUUUAAAACUACACCUCUGAUUUGAUUUUUUUUUUUUUUGCUCUUGCACCAAAGCAAUACUCCAGGUUCACUUCGAAUUAGUCACAUGCUUAUAAUAAAAAAGAAGUAUAUAGUAAACUAAUUAGAGAACGGUAGUUUUAUUCCAAGUUCAUUUGGAAAUUGUCAGAUGUUAAAGAUAAAUUUUGUUUCUACUUUUGAGAGAAAAGUGUUACAUGUUCCUGAAAUUGUUCUAGGAUCAUGUUGAAAAGGUUCUAGCUUGCUUAGAAAUAAAAAUCCCUUGCUUAUUCGCAAUGUAUUAAUAGCUAUCACUUACUAUUUCACUUAUUUGAACCAACGUUCCACUGUUCUUUUGCAGUUUCCCACUAUCAGUACAAAUAAAAUGGAAUAAACUGAAUAUGAAAUUAGGAAGAAUAAAUAAACAAAAACAAAAAUAAAAAUAAAAAAGACUGAGAAAGAAUUGUGCAAAAGAAACGCUUGAAAGUGAACGGCCCAUGAAAAGGCCCGUGUGGGUACCCUCCCCUGUUCGGCUGGGCCGAACCAUCCCGGACCACCCAGCCUCUCUCUCGCUUGCUCAGACCUCAGAGAGCUACCGCCUCCGCCGCCACCCCGUGCGCGGCGCGCUCUCUCUGUCGCCGCCGCCGCCGCUCUACGCCGGGUGCCGAGGCUUUUAUCGGUCUCUUCGCGAUCACGCACCAGGUAUUCCCACCCCUUCUCUGCCCUUCCUCCCUCCGUGCGAAACCGAGACUCAAACCCUUGACCUAAAGCUAUUCUUCGCCUAUUCGGCUAUUUGAUGCGGGCUAACUUCGAACUUAUGCAAAUAUUAUCGUGUGUGCGUACUGAUCCUGCCCUCGUAUCCUGCAGUACUGCAGUAGCGAGGUCGAAUUUCACCACUCCCUUGAAUUUCCUUCUAGUUUCAUUCAAAACCCGAGGCUGUCUUGUCAAUUUUAUGAAUCUCUGUGCAAUAGAGAUCAAAUCCUUACAAUGUCAUGCGCUGUGAUUCAUAUUGGACUCAAUCACUCAAUUCCAUGUCCAAAUUUUCAAGUCUCUGGCUCAGUUCAGUUCACCCAGACUGUUGUUAGAUUAUAUUCUUUUGCUGCUGUUGUAAACUUGUAGUGUUGUCAGGUAGUUUACCUGCCUCAAUUUUAUUCUAUGUUUCACAUGAAAAGUUUAGGUGCCGUGUUUAUCCUGUUCGUAUUGGCACGCAGUGGAUGCAGAUGGCUCGACCAUUCUCAUCGUCAUGUAGUGAUUGUAACCUGUGAAAUCAAGGGUCUUGUCUACAGAAUCAAUCAGAUAGGAAUGGGCUUUCAGGUUAAAACUAAAAAAUGAUCUCAUAAUAGCAGUUGUGAUAUAUGUCAAUAGAGUUCAAACCUCAGGAACUUGUUUCUGAUGGGCAGACCCAACCCAACUAGCGUGCCAUCCAUAUACGAUUGGUAUGAUUGGACUAGUAGCCUUCCUGUAAUCAGUUCUAGCUUCCAGGACCAGGAGGACAAAAUCAGAACUUGUCACUAACUUACAAUGUUGAAUUUAAGAUGUUGUGAGCACUUUUAAAUAUAUAUGCAAGUACUAUUGGUUAAUUUCUUGUUAAUUUUUUUACUUGUAUACAGUAUAAUUGUGUAUUGGAUGUACCAAAUUGCAUAUUGUAGAAAUGGCUAGGACUACCCUGGUUCAAACCCUGGGUCCGCCACUCAUACUCCAUAGUAGUCUUGCAAUGAUUUAGAUGCGGAUCUUGUUUUUCCAAUCUGGAUUCAUUCAUUCGUUGAUUCAGGAUUCGAUGGAUUCAUAUUUGAUGCAUAAACAUGGCGCUACUGUUAGAACCAUAGUAGACUAGUAUAUAAUAUUAUCUUAAUCUCCGUCUGGUCAAAUGCAUGACUCAGAUCAAUGUUAGCUGUUAGUGGAAAUUCAGUAUCACAAGACAUAAAACUCUGCUUGGUUAUGUCUUGUUUUGUUGUUCUUGUUGUAAAUGUUCUUCUCUCAUGCCUCUUUAGUUUGGGGCAUGUGAUUUCUUAGUUAUGUUACUGAAUUGUUCUUCAGUCUUUCACCCAGAGAAGGCAAAGAUGAUCAAGAGGCGCUACUUCAGGCAGGACCAUGGCGACAACAGCGGCUCCUCGUCUUCCUCCUCAUCGGGUUCUGACUCGGACAACGAUCCGACGGAAGAGGCAGUCAGCAGUGAGGAAGUAGAGGAGGAUCAAGAAGAGGAAGCAGUCAGGGAAGAAUCAGGAGAAGAAGAGGAAGAAGAUCUAGAACAAAAAAUUGAAGAAGAAAGUGAGUAGUUUACCACAUAUCAUGGUGUGGGUUGAGGUCUCUUGCAUGUGUUUUUCUCUGUUUCUCUGUUUCAUUCGCAAUUUUGUCUUGUGUUUCUGCAAGUGGACAACCUGAUGUGGUUGGAUGAGUUAAUGUGUUUAACCUAUCAACUUCAAUGUGUCAUGCCAGGGAGCAGAUGCAUCAGAUUUUCAAGUAGUCAAAUGCAUUGGUCAUUCUCUCCAUUGUCUCUUUGGUUGUUAAUGAACCGUUAGCUGUUUUAGUCUAACAAUGACAAUAUUCCAGACUUCCACUAUGUUAACUAAGAGUAUUGUAUUGUUUUUUUACAACGAGUAUAAAACUUCCAUAGAAUAUUAGGUCUAACUACAAUUUCCAGUAAAGAAAACUGUAGAAUCAAUGGAGAAAUUGAACAAAGUAGCAGUAUGCCAUAAUUUAUUAAGUGAAACUGUCUUCCAUUGUUAUGCAGAAUCUGUUUCUUAGGAACCCAACUGUUUGUUAGGGUAUUCAAUUCCAGCUAGAUAUAUUUAUUUUAUUGUUUCACUACAAACAGUUGAAAGUUAUCCCCAGGUGCAGAAAUAGCUAAACCAGACUCUUGACCUGUGAAAACAUUGACCAAGAUUUCUUCUUUUGUUGCUCAUGUCUACCAGGUUCAGGAUACCAAAGUGAGGAAAACUCUGGGAAUGAUGUGGAUGACUCAUCUAUAGGUAAUUAGAUAUUUUUUGUUCUUGCUGAUAACUAGUAAGCCAUGCUUUAUUGCUUCUGGACUUUAACUUCCUCUUAAUUUGGGGGAUCUUUGUCAGAUUAUGUAACUUAUGGUUUAGAUGAAGUUAAAUUUCCUGUUGUAAAGCCGGUGUUUGUGCAAGAUACUUUUGAAUUGUGUUUGUAGUUUUUAUAAAACUGAUAAUUACUAUUUCUGUGACUUGUCAUCGUCGAUGCUUUUGAACUCUGUAUGAAACUGAGAAUUGUUCUUUGUUCAGUCUUAUGCACAGGUUAAUUUGCUGUAAUUGUGAUUUAAAAGAAUAUAAGCGUAUAGCUGUUAAUCACUUAAUUGUACCCUUUGGUGUCAUCUUGGCAUCUGGUCAUGCAUUCAUGCUAAACUACUGGUCAUGAAAAAAAUUGAUCCCUGUUUGAGAAAAUCAGCUAAGCUCACCUGAACAGUACUUGUCUUGAAAAGAAUGGAAGGGAGCUGUUCUGGUUGUGCUCAUUUUCUAUUGACAUCAUCUCUUUUAUGCAUUAGUUAGUUCUUAAAUACUGUGAAAACAUUUUUUUAAUCAUUCAUGGGUUUCGUUUCAGACGAUGAUGAACACAGCAGUGCAAGAAAUGAAGAACGUCAUGAAAUAAGUUUGCCCAUUAAGAAAUCUUCUGGUGCUAUUGCUGACUCUGCCAAAAGUGCGGAUAACACAGAUGAUGCUGUUGAUGCAGAUUUUCCUGACUGCAUUCUGAAAUGCAAAUCUGUGUUUAAGUGCAAGCUCUGUCCUAGGAUCAUAUGCUUAAAUGAGGAGAUGGUCAAGAUACAUCUGAAAUCAAAGGUAAAAUUCAUUUGAAGAGUGCUAAUGUUUCCAUUGUGUAAAAGAAGGGGAACGGUCAGAAGAAAUUUAAUAAGUUUUUUCUGCUGUGAAGAUUUAAAGCGACAUCUUAUCAUGCUAGGAGCCUCCUGUUCCUAAGUAUUUCCCCCUUGUGCCUUCAUUUUGUUUUGUUUUUGGCUUUUCGCAGAGGCAUGCUCGUUCCAAGAAACUACUAGGAGAAGGCAGGCUUAAGCUGAUGCUCAACAGUGAUGGUGAACUGGAGGAAGAGCAAGAGACACAUGCUGAGCGUCAUGCUCGGACUAUAGCUAUUUCUCAGGUGUUUACACUAUUUAUUAAAAAUUUUAAUUUAUCCUGGCCAAUGUAUUUUCUUGAAUUGAGUUGUUAUCCAGUAUGAAAUUUUGGCAUUUAAUUCUUCUUAUUAUGCUUGAUAAUUUUUUCAGCAAGUACAAAAACCAAAGAAGGAUUCAGGUAGGCAGCGACAAAAUCGGAGAAAGAAGGUAAUUGAGUCACUAUUUUUUUUGCAUGUGCAUGUGCAUUUGCAUUUCGUUUCCUUUUCUUUUUCUUUUUUGUUUUGUUUUGCGAAGCACAUAUCGAAGGCUUCUAGGUGUCAUUUGGAAGGCCUGUUAAGCUCAAAGUUUGUGCGAUAUCAUGUUUUCAUUAUCUAGAAUGAUCUCGAGCAGCACAGCACCAUGGAGAUCGUAUUUGGAUGUUGAAUACACUUGAAAUGAUUCAAACUGUAUUACUGUGGCACUGCAUGUGCUUUUUUUUGGAGUACAUAUCGAAGGCUUUUAGGCGUCAUUUGGAGGGGUUUGUUGAGCUGAAAGGUUGAGAAAUAUCAUGUUGCAUUGUCUUGAAUGGUCUCGAACAGCAUGCCAAUGGAGGUCAACUUUGGGUGUUGGAGACACUUUAAUCUCCAUUGCUCAUGCACUUCUUGUGAAGCACAUAUCGAAGGCUUUUAGGUGUCAUUUCGAAAGGCCUAUUAAGCUCAAAGUUUGUGCGAUAUCAUGUUUUCAUUAUCUAGAAUGAUCCUAUGCAGCACACCACCAUGGAGAUCGUAUUUGGAUGUUGAAUAAAAUUGAAACAAUUCAAACUGCAUUACUGUGGCACUGCAUGUGCCCUUUUUAUUUUGGAGCACAUAUCGAAGGCUUUUAGGCGUCAUUUGGAGGGUUGUGUUGAGCUGAAAGGUUGUGGAAUAUCAUGUCCAUAGUCUUGAAUGACCUUGAAACAGCAUACGACCAUGGAGGUCAACUUUGGGCGUUGGUGACACUUUCUGCAUUACUCAUACUUGUGAAGCACAUAUCAAAGGCUUUUAGGCAAUAUUUGAAAAGGCCAAUUGAGCUUAAAGCUUGAGCAAUAUCAUCUUAUCACCAUCUCCAGGUGAAUGAUCUCGAGCUGCAUGCCAUCAUAGGUGUCAUAUUGGCAUGUUGAAUACAUGCAACAACUGAAUGUGUAUUUGUGUGGGUAUUGCCUCAUAGCAUGUGAAGCUACUUGCUGCUCCAUUACUUUAUGUUCUGACAAAUUUUUUUUGCCCCAUUAUUUACAGAAGAGGUCCCGGAAUAAUCUGGAGAAGAAACAGGAGGCACAAAACUCCAAUAAAAAGCAACGCAAAGCUAAAUGAUGAAGUGGUUCCUGCAGAAACUUCUGAGUUCUUUUUUUUUGCUAAGUAGCUGUGUUGUCAAACUUGUAGCGGCCAUACUGUUAGGAUAUUCAAAGUAUCCGAGAGUUCUCUCCUCGGCUGUACCUCCGUUUUGACCCAAACUGGUGAUAAUUUGUUGAAAUUUAGAGAUUGAAUUGGGCCUUGUUUAGUUCCCAAAAAAUUUUGCAAAAUUUUCCAGAUUCCCAGUCACAUCGAAUCUUUAGACGCAUGCAUGGAGUAUUAACUGUAGACGAAAAUAAAAACUAAUUGCACAGUUUGGUCGGAAUUGACGAGACGAAUCUGUUGAGCCUAGUUAGUCCAUGAUUGGAUAAUAUUUGUCAAAUACAAACGAAAGUGCUACAGUGUCGAUUUUGCAAAAUUUUUUGAAACUAAACAAGGCCUUGAAGUGGACCAAAAUGAUAAUUUUGACUCUUGCAGUUGAUAUAAGCCACAUGAACUACAAUUGUGUUGCGUAUAUCACUGCCGGAUGUGUUAUUCAAAGAGCUCAAGUGUCUUGGCUUGCUUCAGUCAAAUUGAUAGAGAAGUUGACAGAUCAAAUUGGUAGAGAAGUUGACAGUAUCACAUUUCACGAAGUUAUCUUGCAGUUAUCGUGAUAAGGAAGCAGAUGAUGCUAUAGAGAAGAAAUCCAUCAAUCAAUACUACUGAAAGCCCAGCACGGCCCAACCAAAUAUAGGGUGGUGUUAAAAUUUAAUAGGCACAUUAGUAUUUUUGUUUUAUUUAAUAAUUACUGUCUAAUAAUAGAUUAAUUAGACUUAAAAAGAUUCGUGUUGCAAAUUAUCCUCUAUAUAUGUGUCUAAAUAUUCAAUAUGGUAGGUAUAAAAAAAAUCAAACCUUAGUGCUCAUAAAGAUAACUUCUGUCACAUUAUUAAAUAUUUAAACACAUACAUAAAAUAUAAACCUAAUUAAUUUAUAAUUAAACACUAAUCACUAAAUAAAACAAAAAUAGUAACCCAACCGAACACCCUAGCGAAGAACACGAUAAAGCCGAAUGGGCCCUUCUUGUUCCUCGUGCACCUCGUGGCGCGUGCUGCUCAGCUGCAGUGCUGCCUUCUCUUGACUUGCUCCCCCGAUCUCGCUCGCCUUGCUCCCCGUCCCCGAUCCGUCCAUUCAUCUCUCUCAGGCGCACGUGUGUGUCAGCAGCUCCGGCGUCGAUGGAGAACCUGCUGUCCAGCGCGUCCCACGAGACGCUCCCGGACAGCUUCGUCUUCCCGGCGGAGCAGCGCCCGCCGGCGUCGUCCGCCGCCGUCGAGCUCCCCGUCAUCGACCUCUCCGGCCCCCGCGACGAGGUCCGGCGAGCCGUCCUUGAAGCCGGCAAGGAGCUAGGCUUCUUCCAGGUGGUGAACCACGGCGUGCCGGAGCAGGCGGUGCGGGACAUGGAGGCCUGCUGCGAGGAGUUCUUCCGCCUCCCCGCGGAGGACAAGGCGGCCUUCUACUCCGAGGACACGGGCAAGCCCAACCGCCUCUUCACCAGCACCACCUACGGCACCGGCGGCGAGCGGUACUGGCGGGACUGCCUCCGCCUCGCCUGCGCCUUCCCCGUCGCCGCCGACGCCAAGACCAACUGGCCCGACAAGCCCGACGGCCUCAGGGAGGCGACGGAGAGGUUCGUCGCGCCGACGCGGGCGCUGGGCAUGGAGCUGCUGCGGCUGCUGUGCGAGGGCGUGGGCCUCCCCCCGGACUACUUCGAGGGGGACCUCAGCGCCGGCGACGUCGUCGUCAACGUCAACCACUACCCGCCGUGCCCGGACCCGGCGCGCACGCUGGGUUUGCCGCCGCACUGCGACCGUAACCUCAUCACGCUCCUCCUCCAGGGCAGCGUCGCCGGCCUCCAGGUCGCCUACCGCGGCGACUGGAUCCGCGUCCAGCCCCUCCCCGGCGCCUUCGUCGUCAACUUCGGCCACCAGCUCGAGGUCCACUUCGUCUCCCUUUGUGGCGAGAUGCGAUUGACUUGUUUGAUGACGACGCUGCCUGCCUGCAGAUCGCGACGAACGGGCUGCUGAAGAGCGUGGAGCACCGCGCGGCGGCCAACGCGGCGGUGGCGCGCACGUCGGUGGCGACGUUCAUCAUGCCCACCGACGACUGCCUCGUCGCCCCCGCCGCGGAGCUCCUCGCCGGCGACCUCGGCGGCGGCGCGCGGUACCGCGCCGUGACGUUCCGGGAGUUCAUGAGGGUGUACAAGACCGUCGGCGCGCGCAGGGAGAGCGUCGAGAAGGCCUUCAAGAUCUGAUUGAUGUCGUCAGCUGUUUGGCAGCUCGUCUGUGACCAGGCCGUGCUCUAUAGCCGCACGCCAGAGAUGAACAAAUUGCUUUGUUUUUUUUUUUUUGAAAUCUACAUCAUCAUAUUGCUUUGUAUUUUUUUUUUUUGAAAUCUACAUCAUCUAUAGCCGCACGCCAGAGAUGAACAAAUAAGGUGGCCGCUCGUUUGAUUUUCGAUGAAAUUUCAAAUUCCACUUCCAUCGUUGUCAGGCAUGGCAUUGGCAUCGGCGCCGCGAUUUGUAGCUACGAGGUACACCGCCGGCCAAGCAAACCAAGCGCCGGCGGGAAUGCAGCCGUCUUCUCCGCCGCACGAUCGCGUGGAGGCCAAAGUCAACUGCAGCUUUGAGUAAUCCUGACUCCUUGAUACAGUGGCUUUGUUAAUAAAAAAAGUUUUUAGAUUUUGAUAUCACAGCACUUUUAUUUUUAUUUAACAAACGUGUCCAAUUAUCGAGUAAUUAGGCUUAAAAGAUUUGUCUCGUGAUUUACAUACAACCUGUGCAAAUAAUUUUUAUUUUCAUUUAUAUUUAAUGCUCUAUACAUGUGUCAAGACCACAAGAACUAUUCCCUCUGUCCAAAAAGAACGUAGAUCUCGUUUGCCCAUGAGUCAAAAAAAUUAGUCUAAUCAAAUAUCGUCAUAAAAACAUUAAUAUUUUAUAACACAUAAUAAGUAUUAUAAGAUUAAUCAUAAAAUAUUAUUUUAUAAUAAAUCUAAUUAAAGAUCUAAAUGUAGGUAAUAUAUUAGGAUUUGCUAUAUUUCCGAUGUCUGAAAUUUAAUAUUUUUUCAUGUGAUCAACAUAACAACUACUACUAGCAUGUGCCCUCUACACUCAAGAUGCAUCGCCUGAAUGUUCAGGCGACUGAUACGGAGGAAACGUGUAAUAUAUUUUAUAAAUUUAAUUAAAUUUAAAAAAUUUUGACUCUUCGUGAAGUGAAAUUUAUGUUUUUUUAGGAUGGAGUAGUAUUGAGCAUUUGUGCUUUUAAAAAUGUGAGGAACUCAGAAAAAGCUACAGUACAUUUUAUUGGUUUAAUUUCUGGACAAAAAUAGCUUCAGGUUUUAUCAUUUUUUUGUUUUGCCUUUAUUAUAUUUACACGUGUUUCUAGAGCUUUUGAUUAGGUGCGUGGAGAAAUUCUCGAACAACAACAGCGUUAUAAAGUUUUUUCUAUGAAGUUCCAAUACAAAGGUAAAAUAAAAAGACUUCCUUAAUCACAGGUGCCUAAAUUUUGGCUUCUGGUGACGAACAUCAUCUAUCUAAUCCAAAUCCAACUAUCACUAAUUAUUCUCAUCCUUAGGACCGAGCAACUUCUCUUGUUAGUUUAUCUUUACUUUCAAAGAUCUGUAGAAUAGGAAAUGUGAAGAAAAAACUCCUUUUGAUCUCCUCCAGCUUUGCUUAAAGUUCUAUUCUCCUCCUUUAAUGGGAAAGCCGCUUGCUUAACUUCCCGACUUUUGAAAUGUUGUUUCUAUAUCUUUGUUUAGCAUAAGCAAUUUAGCCUGUUCGCUUGGCUGAAAAGUCAUGACUAAAAGUACUAUUCACUGAUUUAUUGUGAGACAAAUUGUUAAAUGGCUAACAGAUUCGGUAGAUAAGCUCAAGGAACAGACUACAUCGGAUUACAUUGAUAGUUCAAGAUGGAAAAAUGGAUUUAGGGAAAAAAAUGUUUAAAAUAUUCAAAUAUUUAUGUAAUUAAAAAUCCUAAAAUCUAAUUAAAUCUUAGAAAAGUUUUUAAGCUUGAAAAAUUAGGAAAUCUAAAACCUGUUAUAUAUUCCGAGCUAAUUAAGCAAAACUUAAAAUUAAAUAAAUUUUUAUUAUUUUUAAUUGCAUAACUUUUCUUGAAAAUUUAGCUAGAUACUAAAAAACUAUUUGUAUAAUUGUUUUUUAUAAAGUAUAUUGACAUCACUAAACUCACGACCCCGGUGUCAUGUAGAACAAUUGAUGUGUACAUGUAGCACAAAACCAAGUUGGUCACGUGAAAUUAAAUCUAGCCCUCCAUGGCUCCAUAUAUUUCAUACACAGUAAGUUCAGAAUCCAGAAUUCACAGUAAUUAAAUACGUGCUUAUCGUCAAGCAAGCAAGCGGGAGUAUAGACACGUAGACCAAGCUCACUCCAGCCAAAUGACACACAACAUCCAAAUCAUAGCUGGCAAGCGUUACCACUCACCCACCAGCUCUUCAAAUUCAAAUUCAAAUUCAAACAACAUACAUAUACCGUUGAAAAAAAAACCCCUUGUCUUGCAAACUGCAGUGCACGCAUAUGGCUGACAGCAGGGCUCGUCGUACGUGUCCGGUACUCAUGUGUCUCUGGAAUUUUUUUUACAUCGGGUCAUUCACCCGUAUUUCAUUUAGGCAAGUCUCAAUACAUAGUUUCAUGACACAGUUAGCAAGACUAUAAACUAGGUAACCGAGCCACAAGAGUUUCAUGGGGAUGAAACUUCUCUCUCAUCUAAUGAAACUCCUUCGUUUAAUGACCCUACCAAGUCAGCAAUUUUGCUUACGUGGCAACCUAUUUAAUGUGCAUGACACUCUCAUGAAACAUGCAUUGAGACUGGCCUAAAAGGAUGUCCCUGGAAUUCAAAGACAAAUUAUCCGGAACACGCUGGAGGAGCGGAUUACGGUGACCUGGCGCCCGUAAUUAGCUGACAGCAGCACCAAUUUUUUUUUCAACCCGUUCCAAAGCAAGUGACCGCCCCUCGCUCCGACACGUCACGUCGCCGCUAUAUAUGGCCGCACCGGCCGUCGCCGACGAGCCGGCCGUGCAGCAGCCUGUUGGUUGGUUGGUUCUUGCAAUGCGGGGAUAAAGCCAAGCCUCCGGAUUCCACGCAGCAAGCGAUCGGAUUUCCCGGCAUGGCGGCGGCGGGCGUGGUCGUGUUCGACGCGGAGGUGCUGAGCCGGGAGGAGCGGAUCCCGGCGCAGUUCGUGUGGCCGGCCGAGGAUCGGGCGCCGUCGGCGGGCGGCUGCGGCGUGGAGGAGAUCGCCAUCCCCGUGGUGGACCUCGGCGAGUUCCUCCGCCACGGGGAUCGGGAGCUGCCGCGCGGCGUGGCGGAGGCGUGCGAGCGCCACGGCUUCUUCCAGGUGGUGAACCACGGCGUCCCCGCCGCGCUGCUCGCCGACGCCUACCGCUGCCUCGACGCCUUCUACGCGCGCCCGCUCGCCGACAAGCAGCGCGCGCAGCGGCGCCCCGGGGAGUCCCACGGCUACGCCAGCAGCUUCACGGGCCGCUUCCGCUCCUGCCUGCCCUGGAAGGAGACGCUCUCCUUCAACUGCCCCGCCGGCACCGGCGGCGACACCCAGAGCGCCGCCGCCGUCGUCGACUACUUCGUCGACGUCCUCGGCGAGGACUACCGCCACAUGGGGUACCGUAAAAAAAAACCCUGCAUAGCUAUAGUGUACGUGCACGUAUUUGUGACAAUGGCGCACGAAACGAACGAAAUUACACAUGCAGAGAGGUGUACCAGGAGUACUCCGACGAGAUGGCGCGGCUAGCGAUGGACGUGACGGAGGUGCUGGCGGCGGCGCUGGGCCUGCGCCGCGGCGCGCUGCGCGGGUUCUUCGACGGCGGCGACUCCAUCAUGCGGCUGAACCACUACCCGGCGUGCCGGCAGCCGCAACUGACGCUGGGGACGGGGCCGCACCGGGACCCGACGUCGCUGACGCUGCUGCACCAGGACGACGUGGGCGGGCUGCAGGUGUGCGCCGGCGGCGGCGGUGGUGGUGAGUGGCGCGCGGUGCGGCCCCGCGCGGACGCGUUCGUGGUCAACAUCGGCGACACCUUCGCCGCGCUCACCGACGGGCGCCACGCCAGCUGCCUCCACCGCGCCGUGGUCAGCGGUGACCGCGCCCGCAGGUCGCUCGCCUUCUUCUUCAACCCGCCGCUCGACCGCGUCGUCCGCCCGCCGGACGCGCUCCUCCUCGAGGACGAGAAGCGCCGCCGCCCGCGCGCGUUCCCGGACUUCACGUGGCGCGAGUUCCUCGAGUUCACGCAGAAGCAUUACCGGUCGGACGCGAGCACCAUGGACGCCUUCGUGUCGUGGAUCGCCGGAGGACGCGGCGAUGGCCAUGGCGGCAGACAGGAGGGCAAGUGACGAUCGAUCGAUCGAUCGAUUCGAUCAUCUAAAGCCGUAGGCAGCAGCUAGGAAAAAAAAAAAUGGCCGGUGAUGCAGCCAUUUGGCGCAUAAAUAAAUUUAGUGGUUGUGUAAAUAUAUUAUGGUGCAAUAAGGACGACUUCAAUGGCGAUCUAUAAAGCUUUGCAGUUUUAGACAAUCUUUCAUGCAUGCGGUAUGCUAUGGCGAUCGUUGGUGUAGAAUGCGUGCAUGCCUUUGCAUGCCAAUAUGUUGGUCAUGUGAUGGCACAGCGUGAGUGUAGCUCACUGCGACAACGUGCUGAUUAGCGUGGGGUCCGAGAUGAAAAGAUCGCCUAGUGACCUGUGCUUUGCUAUGUUCCUGCUAAACAUACUCCUAUGCAGGUCAUUUUUUUUUAAUUUGGUGCCUUAUUGACACAUUGUUCAGGUUUCCAACAUUUCUGAAACAAACCAAUCUAAGCCCAUUGUCAAAUUGUCACAUUGCCUUAUUGACAUAUUUGUCACAUUGUUUUUUUUUUCUCGACUUGACGUGUAUUUCAUCAGGGAGAAGUAUAAAGCCAACCAACGGCGAGCUGCCGCGGUGAUCCAAGAUCAGGAUCUGAGAGACAAGCCUUAGCGGACUACACGGCGAACGGUGAACGCAACUAGGAGGAAAGAGACGCUACUGCAUGCCUACAACGGUGACCAGGAAAAUCUUGAUGCCGGCCUCUUACUUAAUCAGCGGUUCUUUUUAAGAUGAAACCCUGAAGAUUUAUACCAGUUUUUUACAAGACCAAUACUUUGUUUUAAGAAAAAUGACACAUCUUUGUAACACAUGACUUGCACAUUGCAUUAUUAGGCUUCAAACUAUAUGGAACAAAAUAACGAAUAAUAAAAUAAAAUUGUUUUUACUAUGCAUGCAUCCUAAUUCCUAAUCCCUAAUCAAAUCCUAUGUACUCUAACCCGAAAUAUACUGCUGCUUACAUGUAAAGUACAUCACUCCGUAUUUACGUGCAAGGCAGUAACUAGCUAGAGCGCCGUGAUCUCGGCGAGGAUCCCGUCGACGCUCGUCAGCUUGCCAUCGUCGUCGAAGCAUAUCUCUCUCAGUUUCACGAACGUGUAGCAGGUGAGCAGACUGUCAUAGCCGGCCUGGUGCGCCUCGCCGGCGGCCCGCGCCACGUUGAGCUUCGCGGCGACGCUGUCCAGCCCACGGCGGAGGUGGUCGCUCGGGCAGAGCCUCGCCAUCUCCCUGACGUCGAACACCCUCCUCCGGCGGAGCAGCGCCCCGGCGACGACCUCGAACUCCGCCGCCGACGCGGGCAUCCGAAACCCGGGCCCGAGCAUCAUCUUCACCAGGUACGCGAGGUCGUACCCGCCGCUGGCCGUGACGACGCCGGCGCGGCCGAGGCCCGCGCGCGCCCACUUGCGCAGCCGCGGGCCGAACGCCGCCGCCGCGUCCACGCCGUCCCGCCGCGUCCGGUCCAGGUCCACGCCUCGGGCUCGCAGCGCCGCGAUGGACUCCGGCGUGUGGCGGUGCCGCCGCACGUCGAACUCGCGGAAGUUGAACUCCCACACGUACCGCGUGCCGGCGGUGGCGCCGUCGCCGAGGCCGACGAGGGAAGGGAGGCGGCACCCCGCGUCGUCGAACAGCGUGAGGCCGAGCUGGAUCGGGUCCAGCGCGUCCACGGUGGACCUCAGCAGCUUGUACCGCUCCUCCGGCUUCAGCGUGUGCGCCGGCCCCGCCGGCCGGUACACCGUCCCCGGGAACUUCGUGUCCACGGCCAGGUACCGGAACUUGGGCAGGAGCGACUCGAUCAGCUUGGCUUCCUGUUCGAAGUUGUGCGCCCACACCUGGCGCACCUCCACGUGCGGCGCCGGCGGCCGCGCUGGUGGGAACGGCACCGGCACCAUCGGCGGCUUCGUCGCCAGCCCCCACGCCGCGCCCGGCGUCAGGGGGUGAUGGGACGCGCACGCCGCGGCAGGGUCCGGCAAGGAAGGCGGGAGCGGCCCGCGCGGCGAGGGUGUCGUCUCCAAAGACGACGAGCAGCGCGAGGGCGAGGGCGUGGAGGGCGCCGAGGAGCCGGCGUCCAUGACGUCCGCCGCUGGCGCUGGCAUCGUGUUUGGGACGACGAACCGCAUCUUGAUCGGGGAAGCAACGCGAGCGCCGCGCGUUGCCACCUGCUGCCGGUCCGGUCGCGCCAUCUGCUGCGCCGCCGCCGCCAGGAGCCCCCGCGUGGCUCCCGCCAUCAGCUGCUGCUGCUGCUGCGAUAGGAGCGCCGCCGCGUACGACUCGGCCAGCGUGUCAUGCGGCGGCGCGCCCGUCUCCAGCGACGAGCAGGAGCCCGGCGGCGUGGAAGGCGGCGGCGAGCCGACGUCCGUGACAUCCACCACCGCCGCCUGCGGCCUGUAGACGUCGGCCGCCGGCAUCGUGUUUGGGACGAAGCGCAUCUUGAUCGGGGGAGGAACAGGGGCCCCGCGCGUCGCCACCUUGGCCGAGGCCUGCCGGUCCGGUCGUGCCAUCUGCUGCUGCGCCGCUGCCAGGAGCUCCCGCGUGGCUUGCGCCAUCAGCUGCUGCCGCGACAGGAGCGCCGCGUACGACUCGGGCAGCGUGUCGUGCUCGUGCGGCGGCGCGCUCGUGUCCAGCGACGGCGUGGAAGGCGGCGGUGGCAAGGCGACGUUAGUGACAUCCGCCGGCGCCGCCGCCUGCGGCCUGUAGACGAAGGGCGUCGGGAUCGCGGGGAAGACAGGAGCGCCGCACAUCGCCGCCGAGCGCCGAGAGACCUGGUUCCUCCGGUGCCGGUUCAGCUGCGCCGCGCAGCCGUGCGGUGCGACUUGGUUGGAGGGGGCGGCGCGUUCGGUCGUAUGUAUAUAUACGCGUGAGCGUGAGUGCGCGCGCUGAUCUGCUGGACCUGAUCUCGGUCGGGUUGUUGCGAGACGGGAGGUGGCGGUGGAGCUAUAUAGAGGAGAGAAGGAUGCAGAGGCCAGCGAUCGAGGCGGUGGUGGUGGAGUGGAGUCUUGGCCGUGUUCGGGCGACGCGUCCGACUCGGCCGACACGACAGUACCCAUCCAUCGAAUAAGGAAAGUUUUAUGUACGCCCGAUACGAUACGAGUACUCCGUAUGUAUCUGUACCGGCCGGCCUCACGAAUCCGAGGCAGCUGCUAUCACGUCACGAUGUAGAAACAGUAUAGAUGUCGUCAUUAUCAAUUCGUUUUUGGCACACGUGACGCGUGUAUAUGGAAGUACAAAUGUCCACGUAGCCAAGGGAGUCUUCACCAUGUACCAGGGGUAUUCGCCGCGGCAAGCGUCGCCGCGGGUACGAAGAAGAAAUAUAAAUAAGUUUGAACGUGUAUUGCCUAAUUUGGAGAGCUUACAUGUUGAGAAAUAUGUGAAUUGAUGAUAUGAACAUUAUAAUCGUAUGAGAUAGUGGAUUUUAAUUGUGUGUGAUAGUAGAUUGUCUACUUAGAUAGCUUGCGUGUUGAGAGAAAUAUGUAGUGAAAUUUUGCUUUAUAAGAGUAUAAUAUACCGUAUAUAUAAAACUAACUAUAUAUAUUUUUCCUCCAUUGGAGUUGUUCUCUUUCAACAAUUACUGUCCGUCCCAAAAUAGUUUGAUUUUAGAGUCGUCCGAACUCAAACUAUCUUAAUUUUAUCUAUAACUUUCCAUAUAAGAUGAUAAAUCUAUGGUACAGUUUUUUUUUUUUUGUGACUGGUACAGUUUGGUGUUACAAAUUUUGUCACUCUUCGAUCAAUUGGGCCUACUAAAUGGGCUUGCAUACAAAUUACACAUAGUGUGAUGGGCAAUCAAAAUGGGCCUCACAGAUUAUGACGGAAGGCCUCAAACACGUCACAUUUUUAUUUAUCGUCAUGAAAAAGUCCGUCACAGAAACAGCAGCGUUAGAUCCCAGGUUGGAUCCUGCGUGGAUUGGCUAGUGAUGAUUGCAGGCUGACCUAGCAAUGGCCUCAAGCCUAGGUAAAGCUGGACGCCGCCGUCCAACAAUUUGUUCGUUUGACUGAUAAGUCAUGACAAAGAAUAUUAUUGGCUGAUUUAUUACGAAAGAAAAACAUUGUGAAUGUCUAACACGAAGCUACGAUUUCUGGACGCGCGAAAGCAUUCCGAUUUGUGCUAGAACGAUAAGGCUUAAGGUUUGAUUACAAGAUGGUGAAACACUGCGUGACAAAAGAAGAAGAUGAUCGACACCAAGAAGCUGUAGAAGCUAAAGAUCAGACAUCACACGUAGCCGCCGUUGGCGCGGAUGACCUGGCCGUUGACCCACUCGGCGGCGUCGGUGCAGAGGAACCCGACCACCGGCGCGAUGUCGCCGGGCUCCCCGAGCCUCUCCAUGGGGCAAAUCUCCACGGCGCGCCGCACCAUGUCCUCGCUCUUGCCCUUGAAGAACAUGUCCGAGGCCGUGGCCCCCGGCGCGACGCAGUUGGCGGUGACGCGGGUGCCUCUGAGCUCCUUGGCCAUCGUCCGCACCAGCGCCUCCACCGCCGCCUUGGACGCCGUGUACGCCGCGUACCCCGGCGGGAGGCUCCCCACCACGGACGACGUCACGGCCACGAUCCGCCCGCCGCCGCCGCGCGGGACGCGGUUGGCCGCCUCCCGGAGGCACAGGAACGCGCCGCGCAGGUUGACGGCGACCACGCGGUCGAAGGCCUCGGUGGUGGUGUCGGCCACGGCCGGGUACGUGUCGUCGUUCACCCCGGCGUUGGCCACCAGGAUGUGCGCGCCGCCGACGCCGAACGCCGACUCCGCCGCGUCGAAGAGCGACCGCACGCCGGCCUCGUCCGAGACGUCCGCCCGCACGGCCACCGCGCGCGGGAGCGACGCCGCCAGCGCGUCCGCCUCGUCGGCGCGCGACGCGUACCCCAGCACCACGCUCGCGCCCAGGGAGGACAGGUGCGCCGCGAUGGCGCGCCCGAUGCCCCGCGACGCGCCCGUCACGAUGGCCACGCGACCCGCCAGCGGCUGGGCGUUGCCCGCUGGCAGCGCCGAUGCGGCGGCGGCAGCGGCAGCGGCAGCGGCUACGGCGGAGACGUCACCAGCGUCUGCCAUUGUACCUCUCGGCGGCUCUGGGGUUUCUUGGGUCUCGCACGAGCGGGUGCGUCCAGUGUUAACCACGCGCGUGCGGCGCUCGCGCCGUCCACGUCUCGCCGGGCCCGGCCGGCCGUUCGGCGAUUGCGUCCAGAGCACGCCGGGGCAACGAUGGGGACCGCGACGUCUCGUGACUUCGUGAGCCUCGUGCUGUGCUGUCCUGUCCUCAAGUGCGCGUGCGCGUGGUGGCAUCAAGCUUUUCACCUCCGAUGGAAGAUGCCCUUGAUCAAAGCGACAGCUACAUAGGAAUUUCGCUGGGAGACACUUCGAUAUAUGUAUGUAUUAUCCCCCAAUUUGCACCUUGCAACUUUAUUUAUCGCUGUAUUAUUGAAUAAAUAAGCUGAAUAAAUAAGCUGGUUCGUGGAUAUUCAUUCUCAGGUUACAUACCAGCAGUGCAAACAGUGCACAUCUAUCUAUAGGUCGUGUAACUACUCUGUAUUGAUCAAGGAACAUGUACGGCAGGUCCAGCAGUUCAGUAAUUUACAGUUGAUUUUAUAGCAUCCAGGACCUGGAAAUAGACUUGGUUAGACAUGGCAUUACAGCGGCAUAGCAAAGGGUCUCUGGUGAUUGGUCAUGAUCAUACCUUGUUCUUGGUGGGCAUGUAAAAUGGUUCGUAAACGAGAGGGAAAGGAGUGUCGAGGCCGCAGACUCUCGCCACAGGUGCUUCUAACUGGUACAUAUCAAAUUGUGAAUGAAUGAUCAGAGGAGCAUCAAGACGAGGCGACACAUGAUUGAUUUUACAUGUUCGGUAGAUAAUCCAUUCAAUAAGAAAGGCUGGAAGGUUCACUACCCUCUGGAAGCAGCGCUCGGUGAUGGAUGCAGCAAUCUCUGCACCAAAGCCCCCGGUGAUUGGAGCCUCAUGGCUAACCUGUUACAUAAUUUGUCUUAGGAAUGAUAGUAUCUCAUAGAGACAUGCAUAGCAUAGAUGAGAAUAAGUUGAUGUAACUAGACAUGUGAGAAGAGCUGCAUACGAGAAGCUUUCCAGUCUUCUUGACCGAGGCCUCUACUGUUUCCUUGUCCCAUGGUAUAAGUGUUUUUAGAUCAAUGAGCUCACAAGAUACCCCAUCCUGACAUAUAGAGAUAUAGUAGCCUCAGUUAUGGUAUAUGGAAAACUGAGGAACAUCACGGGGAGAUGGAUAUCAAAAUUUACAGAAACAAUCAAGAAGCUACGAGGACAAUACACGUAUCACUUGCUAUUAAUUGUCACUAGAUGGUUCUUUCCCCCCCGAAAAUCAUGCCAUUAUGUGAUAUAGACAACCAAAACUGAUGCUAGCAACUUCAAUAUGUGAGGAUUGCCAGUUGUAGUCAUAAUUUCAGCUUCUUAUUGAUCUCAAUUGGUACUUGAGAAUAAAUUCUGUCUUCAUAGAUGAGCAAUGUGCAUUCAACUACGUGUUUCAUCCGGUGCUAUACUCACAUUAACAGUGAAUAUAUGAUAUAUUAUCAAGUGGUAAUAAACUUUCUUUGCCAUUGUUUUGAUUGAUACUGGGAUAACUUUCUUUGCCAUUGUUGACUCAAGACAAAACAAAACAGAAUAUUUGGUUUUGUUGGGCUUCACCACAAAUUAUGAUAAGGAAGGUUCUUCCAUAUAUAUCAGCUUGAGGAUGUUAAUGAAAUUUUGUCCAUGGAUUAUGGAAAUAACUGACCUUUGCAGCAUCUUCACAAGCUUCUUUCAGUACUGCAAGUUGAGCUCCCCAUCCAAUGAGUGUUAUAUCACUUCCUUUCCUAAUCACCUAAAGUAAAUAAGUUGCAUGAGUACCUUCAUUUAAUAAUGACAAAUGCAAUAAUGCGAUACAAAUAUACUCACUUCUGCCUCAGAUAAGGGCAGCAUAUAAUCCUCCUCAGGAACUUCUUCAACAGCCAAACGAUACAACCACUACAGAAAGAGAGGAAAGGUAGUUUUAGUCUCUGCACAGUACAGCAGGGAUUCUGAUGAGGCUUUUCUAGAUCCUGGAAUGCUUAAAGUUAUCCACCUUUGGCUCAAAAAAUACAACUGGAUUUGGAUCUCGAAUGCUAGCCAACAGCAACCCCUUAGCUUCACGUGGACUUCGGGGUAUGACAACCUGAAAGACUUCAGUUUCUUAGCAAGCAGAAAUAUCCUGAGGUGUUUAUUUCAUGUUUUUCUCAUAUAGUAAUAUUCACUGAACUGCAGCAAGCAAGUCUUGCUGCUACAGUUGAAGACAUGUUCAGAAAAAUAUCAAGGAGGUUUGCAUUCAGGAAAAUGUUGAUUUGACAUUUUUUUUUCUGGAGAAGGAUAGUUCAUGAAGAGGGAUUCUGGUAGGGCCACAAACUUAACCUUGAGUCCAGGAACAUGACAGAAGAAAGCCUCUGGUGACUGUGAAUGGUAGUGACCACCGUGCCCAACAGCACCAUAAGGAGUUCGAAUUGUUAAGCCUAGAAAAGAUGGAUAGGAAAAUUGAAAGCCCAGAAUGAGACUUGUAAUUAUCUGGCCUACCUCAAAAGAUGAUUGGCCAUUCAAGACACACAGAGAAAUGAAAUACCUCCACAGUUAAAUUCAUUUCCACUCCGAUAUCUGAAUUUAGCUGCUUCAUUGACAAUCUGCAACAAAAAAGUUUCAUAAAUAGAUUGGGACAAAACAUAGAUCAAACACAUAUAUGCACUGAAUAUGGAAAGGAUAUAUAUUGGAAAUAAAUAGGCUCAAAUAAACACGUUGAAGAAAUGAAGCCUUGCAAAAACUUCUGCAUAAGGAUUUGGCUAUGAAAAAAAAAAGUUCAACAAUGGAACAGAGAAAUAAGACACUUCCUGAAACACAGAUAAUAUCAUGUGGUCCAGCAGAGCAAGUAUUUAGAAUGUACAAGUAAUCAGGAGGACAAAAAGAACUAUCAUUGGUAAGUGUGUAAGAUAAUUAUAUGGAUGAAAUCAGAGACAUGCCUGAUCAAAGGCUGGAAAGAUAUAGUCUGCAAACUGGAUUUCUGCAAUAGCUCGAUUACCCUACAUGAAAGGCAAAAGAUGUUAAGUUUGUUUUGGAUGGUUUCAUGUUUUUUCGUUUGCAUAUACUAAUACAAAUAUAGAAGCGAAUUAGUGAUUUUGUGACAAUGUAUGGUAAACUAAGUUAUAUGUGAUCCAAUGAGUAUGAAAUUUUUACCAUAGUUCAAGCAUACAAUAAUGAGCGCACCAUAAAAAUUUUACCACAAUUGAACCAUAGGAACUACAUAUAUGAAUUAUUCAAAUUAAUUACAGAAAAACAUAGAUUUAAAGCUACAACAAAAACUUUGUACUAAAGUAUAUCAUAUUAUACAUUCACUAUGUAUACCUAAUCAUCAGGAAUCCAACAAAAUUAAUUUUUUAUUUUAUGAUUUUUCUAUGAUUUAAUAUGAUUUUUCAAAGAUCCAACGAAAAUAAAUAAAAAAUAAAAAGAUAAAACCGCCCUCUAAAACCACUCGAGGAGGUUGUUUGACCGGUUUUGAAAGUUCAGGGGGUAGAAUAUCCGGUUUUAUAGUUUGGGGGAUAAAGUAUUCCACCCUAGAUAGUUUGGGGGGUUAUGUAGACUUUUUUUCUUGUUUGAAAUAUGCAGAGAACCUACCAUGGACCAUCUUGUAUUGAAUAAUUUUUUUCAUUUGUAUUUUCUUUGGUUUAAAGGUCCUCUGAUCCUAUUCUACUACUUUCUUUGUGUUAUUAGUUGCGAUUUAAAUUUAAAAAACAAUCAAUUCAGGAGGGUUCAUUCCUCAAUACAAUUUGCAUAAAAUCAUUACAUAAAAGAGUAAAACGUCGUAUGUAACUCACCAUUGCUGCUAGGCCAAUGGCAAAUCCAGCAAUACCCUGUUGAGCAAAACUGGUCAGGAAAAUGAAGGUGUAACAGCAAAAAGUGAUAACUAGCUAGCUAGAAUACUAGAUGCAAUCCCCGUUCCGAAAAUCAAUCAGAGUUCAGUAAAGUAUUUCAGAACCAAGAAAAUCAAGGUUCAGCCUGAUCUGGCCACUGAAUUUUGAGAUAUUGCUGUAAAUAAAAGUGGCAUAAGCAUCAGAAGAUAUACUACUAAGUGAAAAGCUGGACCUGCUCACAUAGCGGCGUAUUGAAUACUCUGUUCUUGCCAAACCGAUCAGCCAGACCUGUGGUGCAGCGAAAGACGCCGCCGAAUCCAACAUCCUCUCCGAAGACAAAAGCGCUGCCAGGAAUGGAAAAUCGCCUUCAUCAGUUAACUGAACAGAACUGCGUGCAUAUCGCACAAGUGAAUGAAUUCACUAGAUGAAGUGGAAUCUCGGAACUGAGGGAUUUCACUUCAGAAGCGAAUCGGAACGUCCGGACGUGCCAGGAUCGUUAUCUUAUCGCAAGUUCAACCGCAGCUGAGCUGAAAUUGGACGAACAGAGAAGGAAGGGGAUCAGCACGCAUGCUCACCGGGGGUCGGUGUCGAGGGCGAUGUGGAGCGCCUGGUUGACGGCUGUGAACAGGUUCACCGCUUUCGCUCCUCCUCCUCCUCCCUCCUUCCGCUCCGCCGCCGGCCCACCGCUCCCGCUGGACAAGCACCGGCGCCCGACCACCGCCGCCCAGCUCCCCCUCCUCGUCCUCGCCACCUCCCUCAACGCCUUCGCCGCGGCCAUCGGCAUCCAAGAAAGUGGAGUCGGCUGGCUGAGCUGCGCUCUCCGGACAGCCGGGAGUGGGAGCGAUUAUUGGACAAGCAGCUCAGCUCACGAUGCGGCCCUGCUCUGCUUGUACUUCUUGGACCCGCAGCUGAGAGUGACGUGGAGAGAUAAGCUCGCGCCCAUGCCUGGUCGCUUUCGUCAGUGUCGUGUCGCCUUGCUUCCAAUCUACUACCAGAAAGCAGUAAUAAACCACCGCGUAACAGAUUCCUGUUAUUUUUAUUUAUUUGUUAAAUUUUUCACGUUUUUCUUCUAAAUAAUUGCAUUUUUUUCUCUUCUCGCGCUAGUCACGUUUGCGUCAUGUGGAUCAUGCUUAGAUGUUGUACUUUUCUAUGCAAGUACAAGUAUACAGGUUGGAUGUGACUUGUCUCACGUUGCCUUGAUUAUAUAUGAAGAAGUUCACCUUAAAACCAAAAACUUUUCAAAAUUCCUUAUCAUAUUUAAUCUUAUGGCAUUUUCAUAAAACAUUAAAUAUAGAUAAAAACAAAAACUAAUUAUAUUGUUUGUCUAGGCCUUGUUUAGUUGGAGAAAAAUUUUAGUUUUGAGUAUUGUAGCACUUUCGUUUGUAUUUGAUAAUUAUUAUCUAAUCAUGAACUAACUAUGCUCAAAAGAUUCGUCUCUCAAAUUAUAGACAAACUAUAUAAUUAGUUAUUUUUUAAUUUAUAUUUAGUGCUCCAUGCAUGUGCCGCAAGAUUCGAUGUAACGGAGAAUUUGGAAUUUUUUUGGAACUAAACAAGGCCUAAAUCGCGAGACGAAUCUUUUAAGCCUAAUUACUCUAUAAUUAGACAAUGUUUGUCAAAUAAAAACGAAAAAGCUAUAUUGUCGAAAUCUAAAAACCUUUUGGAUCUAAAUAAGGCCGAAAUGUCGACCUUGUUGACCUUGUUUAGUUCUAUUUUUUUUUCAAAAUAGAUAUUGUAGUACUUUCAUUUGUAUUUAACAAAUACUCUGUUUAAUUAUAGACGAACUAGGUUCAGAAGAUUCGUCUCGCAAAUUACAAGUAAAUUGUAUAAUUAAUUAUUUCUUUUAUUUAUAUUUAAUGCUCCGUAUAUUUGUCUCAAGAUUUGAUCUGACGAGAAAUCUAAAAAAUUUUACAAAAUCUUUUGAAACUAAACAAGGCCAGUUGAGGUGAUGGAAAAGUUUGUGACUACUAUAGUACUUUCGUUUUUAUUUACUAAUUAUUAUUUAAUUAUAGACUAACUAGACUUAAAAUUCAUCUCAUAAAUUACAUACAAAUUAUGUAAUUAAUUAUUUUUUUAUUUAUAUUUAAUAUUUUAUGUAUUUACAUAGAAUUUUGAAAAGUUAUUUUAGGGUAGACGACGAUUGCGAACCCGAAGGAAAGGAUGGUGACGAAGCCGUAUGAAUCGCUGAAUCGGGUCUUUGCCGCCGUCGUCUCUGCCGCGUGCCGGCGGCAUGCUGUGCCGCGUCGAUUCAGCUUUGUGUGGAUCGUGAACACGCCGGCGGUGCCUGUUCCACUUCCAUGGAUAUAGAUGGGCCAAUAGCCCAAUACAUAGGAUGGGCCAAGAUAAAGCCCAUUAGUUGGGGGCCCAGAUUUUUGAGAGGCCGGCUUGGUCGCUCCAGUUGCGUUCUCGAGUGUGGUUUAGGGAAAAAAAAGAUGGUUAUAUAUAUAGUACCACUUGCCAUCACCCAUCAGUGAUCAAAUCUCAUACAUUUGACAUGUACACACAGGGGAAACGUAUUGUAUUAUGUUUCGUAUGGAGAAGCUCUUACGGUAACCAAAAUCAGUAUCUAAUGUAACUUAGGGUUUUUUGUUUAGAUUCUAAAUCUUUACAUUCCAAAACAUUUUAUAAUCCAAAUAAGUGUUUAGAUGCUUUCUAAAUUUUUUGGUCUGCAACACACAAAGCACGGACCCUUAAACAAGUUUACACAGUUUCAAGGUUCUAAAGUCCCAAAUUCCAAAUCUUUACAAGGCUCCUGUUUAGAUCCAUUUUUUUCAAAAAAUGCUCAUUUUUCUAAAAGUUUUGGCUGUUUGGCUGUAUCUAAACCGCGCCUUAGUAAAACAAUGUAACGGUUUUCUUGAAAACCAUGCCUUUAGGGAUCAUUUGGUAGCCUGAAUCAGUUUUAAUUCUCUCGAGAAUCAAAAGAACCGGCACCAAACGGGAUAGUGGCGAAACGUUUCAGCCUCUUUUUUUUUUCUUUGCCUGGCUAACUGAAUCGUUGGAAUGUGGGUAAUUUCGUAGUGAUUCACUUCCGAUUCUUAUGCCUUUCUUAUAUGCUAGAAAUUGCAUUUUUCUUCAGUUAUAACCUUUUUUAUACAAAAAAUUAAAUAUAUUGUAUUUAAGUUGUUCUCCGCCCAUAAAAGCUUUGAAUUCUUAAAAGAGAUAUUGUUUUAUUUAUAUAAUUAUUUUCAAUAAUAUAUUUCUUUCUGACGAAUUGAAAUCUAGUCUAUAACUAAAUGGUUUUUACAAAAUAAUUCUAAUUUGUCAUGAAACACUUUUGAAAAAAAAAACUGAACCCAAAACGUUUCUACCAUACUAAUGCGAACCUGCCAAAAUGCACCUUAGGAGCACCAGGAAUCAGGAUUCAGGAAGCCUCCUCUGAGCAGUCUACGCGACCGACGAAAUGGCAAGAUUCAGUAGUUUUGGCCCCUGAUCCCCGUGACGAGAGAGAAGGAAACCACACCUUUUCGUUUUGAUGAUAAAUAAAUAAAUAAAUAAAUAAAUAAAUAAAUAAAUAAAUAAAUAAAUAACAUAGACCAAAAUAAAUAGGAAAGAGAUAGAUAUUUCUUGCAUGCGGUCGUAAGAACCAGUGGCUCUGCGCAUUCUACCUCCCGCACACUCCAUUCCAACCAGCAAGCAAGCAAACAAACAAAAGACGAAGCAGCAACAAAGAUCACACGAGCUCCGCUUACUCGACGACCCACUGCACUCGCCUCCGAUCGAUCGAUCCGGCGAUCACACUAGUCGAGUCGACUCGACUCGAGCGAGCGCGCGCCCCCGAUCAAUCAAUGGCGGCCAAGGUGGCGUCGCCGCUCGCGUUCCGCCGCGACGUGCGUGGCCCGCUCGGCCGGCCUCAUCCGAGCGGCGGCUGCCGGAGCGGGACCGGGAUGCCGGGGGUGCUGUACUGGAGCAGCGGCGCCGGCGGCAGCAGGGUGCUCGCGGCGCGGGCGCGCGGGCGGAACAGGUUCGGCGGCGGAUCAGGGCGGACGGCCAAGGACGAGGCGGCGGACGAGGACGAGGAGGAGGUCGCGGACGUGGUGAUCGUCGACGCCGGGGACGAGGAGGAGUUCGCCUCCGACGAGCUGUCCGGGUUCAGGGGCCUGGUUCUUGAUCUCUCCUACAGGUGAGAUCACAAACACAUGUAGCUUUUGGGUCCACGUAUCAUAGACAUGCGGAUUUCAUAUCUCAUAUUCUCAUAUACUUCAGUUUCAGCAGACAAAGAAACUUGAAAAAGGCUUAAUCCAUCAGCAACAUGCAUGGUUUCACAUUACUUGUAGUUGCAGAGUUACAGUUCUUGUUGCAGAGUUAUUACAGUUCUUGUUCCAGUGUCAGAAACAGCUAUACUGAUGUACUGUACAGUACAUCCUUUUUAUUUGCUUUUCGAGUACAAUCAAUCACAGUAUUGCUGCAUGGAAUUUCUAUUGCCACAAGGCACUUUUGUCAUCAGACUUUGAUGCACUUGCUGGAAUUUGAUCCUCAAGUCAAGUGUGCUGAACUGAAACUGUACUCUGCAUUCAGGCCUGUCAAUGUCGUGUGCUGGAAGCGCGCCAUCUGCCUGGAGUUCAUUGGGAAGGUUAGCAUACCAGAUACCAACCAAACGCUUCAUAUUUCUUCGGAGUUCAUCAGUUGUGAUCUAUGCUGAUGAAACUCUUAUAGUUGCUCGCAUUUUUCAACACAUAAUGUGAUGAAACUCAAUAAAGGCUUCAUUGGGAAGCUAUGCAGGCCGAUGUGUUGGAGUACUAUGAUCAGACCGUCUCUUCGCCUAGCGGAUCCUUCUAUAUCCCUGCAGUUUUAAGGGUACAUAUGUGACACAUAUAUUGGAUUCUCUUUAUUGAAUUAGUUUUUGAAGUGGCAUCAUCUUCUCACUUUGUUGUUCCUCCUUUGGUGUUGUUCAGGUUCCACAGUUGCUGCAAGUAGUAAAGAGAAGAAGAGUCAAGCAGAGCCUAAGCCGUAAAAACAUUCUUUACAGGGAUGAUUUCACCUGUCAGUAAGUACUGCAUUACUGCUCAAGUUUAAACUUCAGUUCCCCUUGUAUGUGUAAGGCUGUGUUCGUUUCUCUCUGCAUAUCUGAGGCUUUUACAGUUUCCUUUUUUUUUUCAUUUUUUGAAACAAAAUCCUCUUAGUUUUGCUCAAGUUUUUUAGUCUGUAUCGAGUGCCAUGAAAGUUCUCAUUUUCCAUCACCUGCAGAUAUUGCUCUUCAGGGGACAACUUGACAAUUGACCAUGUUAUUCCGAUUUCGCGUGGUGGUAAAUGGGAAUGGGAGAAUUUGGUAUGCAGUUCUAGUGCUCCUAUUCCAUCUACUCAUUUUAUAAACUGGGUUUUCCUUUCUAGUGCUCCUAUUCUAUCUACUCCUUUCUUAGGUAUGUCCAUCUUUUAUUUGAAUUUUGCAGGUGACUGCCUGUGCCAGAUGCAACUCCAGGAAGGGUCAGAAGACACCGGAGCAGGCAAACAUGAAGCUGCUUAAGAUCCCCAGGGUAAGUUAUGUGGCAGUUUAUAUCUUCCUGACUGAACCCUGAUGGCUGCCACAAGGUUGUUUCUGAUCAGGAGCAAUCACACGGUUAUCGCUGAAUUGCACUGCAGGCGCCCAAGGAGUACGAUAUUAUGGCUGUGCCCUUGACAAAAUCUGCAUUCAGAACGCUCAAGAGGAACCAUGGGCUUCCUGAAGUGUGGCUGCAGUACCUUUCCAGACCAUCUCCAUGACCAAAACUCCAAGAGCCUCCUGAUCUUACGGGCCAGCAUCUCAGUGUAUAUUAACAUUAUACUAUGCUGCGCACAGCCAAAGACUGCAGAUCCUAUUCUGUUCAAAGCUCUGUACAUGAAAAUAGUAUAAGAAAUAAGAAUUGCUGUAAGCUGGUGCAGAACCAGCCUAACAACUCAAAUCUAAUUUAAUUUAUCUAAAACAGUGACCAAAGUACGUAGGAUGUAUUUACUCGUAUGUGCACAAUCACAUGUUAAUUCGCGAAGCAUUUAGCUCAGCACACCCCAUGUGAAGAAAAUUUACAAGCAGGUCACAUAAAUACAGAUCUUCUCAACAUUGUACUUUGUAUCACACAACAGAAAGUAGACGGCUGCAGAAAGUUUGAAAGCAAGACAUUCGCGGUUCACAUAUAAACACAUAAUAUACCAAGGAAAAGAAGUUUGUAAAUGCUUGAUUGAAUUCCCAUGUUCAUUUCAGGUUCUUAAACCAGCCAACAUUAAAUAAGCACUACACCAGAAUAUAGAGAGGGACGAACUAGAAUUCAGAGAGAAAAAAGAGGCAGAUAAAUGAAAAUACACCCUCAAACCGAUGAUCCAUCCAUCAUUGGAAAACCCAGUUAAUCAUCCUUCUAUUCCUAAAUUCCUGACACGCCAGAACAGACCAUACCUAUCACCAAACACAACCAACUAGCUAUCCUCUAGCUCCUAUGAACUAUAGGAAACAGGGACAAGAAACACGCUUAAUGGGAUCUCAGAAUUUCCUCAAACAACCCACACAGCCUUAGGUUCCACCCCCACACCACUGUCAAUGGCUAACAAAAAAAUAAAAAAUCAACAGCCAUUUGGACCUGCCAACUUCUCAGUUGGUGAUUUCAGGUCCUGUGGAGCGACAUCAUUUCCUUUCUCGCCAUUUUUCUCUCCUGCUUUGUCUAAUGAAAGCUCUUUGUUCAAGACAUCAGCCUCAGUGAGUUCUGUUGAUCCAGUCUCUCCUUUGAGACUUUUCUCUGUGUCAGUAGAGUUAGGCAGCUUCACAUCGAUGACCUGAAGUAGCAUUCACUGGUGUCAGCUAGAACAAUUAUAAUUGAGUUAUAAUUGAUCAAUCUGUUUUAAAAAUGAACUGUUCAGUAAAUUUGUAUUGAGAAGCUACUAUUUUUCGUAUUACAAGAAAGCAAGAUAACUAGUAUGCAUAUAGUUUGUCAAUAACACAUAUGGGCUUGUGCAGUUACAUGAAAUUUACAGUAACAGACUGUCAGUGCAAUUUCAGAAAAAAAAAGACCUACAAUCAAAGCAGGACAAUAUACUCCAUACCUUUUUCAGUGACUGCUGCUGCUUUGCUUUCCUCUCUUGCAUCAACUUCUCACGAUUAUCAUAAAAGCCAAAGUCAUCCAGUAUGGAUGUCUUGCAGACAUGAUCCUUGAAAAUCUUGAGCACUUGAAGGCCCUGCUCAAACUUCACCUGUGACCAACAGAAAACAUACAUAGAACUCAAUAUGCCAUUCAAAUCAAAUAGUUAAUAGUUAAACAUGUAAAUGUAAAUAAGAAGCAUCAAUCAUGUCACUGCAGUGUAGUGCUAAUAGUCCAAUAUGUAAGAAGCAUCAACAUGUAAAUAGCAGGUGUCCUACAGUUCUAUGAUGGUCUUAUGGCACUAUGCUCUACAGUAUGAUAAGCCACAGAUUGGGGCAUGAAAACAAAACAAUUGGUCACCUCAUGUGUAUCUCUGCUGUUUGUCACUGGCUUGUUUUCAUUGUUCUCAAGAAUGAUGUGCUUCAGCAAGCUGUUUGGAACAUCCUUCACAAUGUGCCACUUGACAGGGAAACAACCAGUCCAUUUGUCCUGUUGCCAAUGCUCUACUGUUUUGUCAAAAUCAACACGACCAACCAUCUCAGCAAGGCCAACAAACUGGCCACUUGCAUUCACCUUCAAAAAGAGAAUAUAUUACCAGCAUAAGGCCAUAAGCAUGGUGAAUGAUUUCACAUUGAUGAGCAUCAACAAUAAUCAUAAUGAACAAACACAAAACUUACAGAGAAAAGAAGGAAAACAGGAGUUUCGCUUGAUUUCUCUUUAGCCUCUUGGUAGGCAGCAUCAAGUUUCUUAUUGCCAUUGGGAGUGCUAGCCCACACAUUGUACUUAACACUCUUGUGAACAUCAUCUUCACUGUAUGAUUUAAUAAUGAAGAAUUUUGCAUCUGAGUAUGUUUCCGCAAAGUCAGCCUGAUUAUACUGAUCCUUCAUCGCAGGAUGGGAUCCAUCAUCAACCGAAAGGUCCUGCUCUUUUGCUGGUACUUCAGUAGUAGCUCCAAGCCCCAGCUGGUUUUUGUACAUACCACUUCUUGGCCCUCUUUUCAGCUCAUUGAAGCCAUCUAGGUUUCCAUUGCCAUAAACAUAAUAUCCAUUAUUACCUCUUCCUCUGGUUCUGUACUUUCCAUCAUACAGUGAAUUCCACCCACCAUAUAACCCAGAACUAUACAUGUGCGAUCCAUACCAAAGGCCAGCUCCAUAGCUCCCAUCAUACCCAUAUAUUCCAUUAGCUGAAUAAACUGAUGGGGAAGUUGGUGUUUGCAGACCCUUCAAGGAAAAAAAUAUCAUGGUUAGGAAGGCAUAAAGUCCAAUACAGUAAAUCCUCACGGUUGCGAGGUGGGAAACCACAACAGACCAAAUGUAACUCCAUGCAAUGCCAACCCCACAGUGAUAAUAACUAAACCCUCAAUGCACUUAUUUUGGGAUGAAGGGAGAGAAUUUGCCACUCCAAAAAAUAAACAGAUCCUCUACCAAGCAACAGUGAAGCUCAUGAGUAAGAUGUAACAUGAAAUAUGCCAACAAACAUUUGAACCAAACUUAAAGUUGGCAUAUGGCACAACAGGAACUCUAUCAUGGAUGGACUGAACUAAUAAAUAAACAUUAGAAGCAGAAAGGCUUACCAUGAGAUGAGGAUACUGUCUCGUGUUUUGAUUCCUGGACUGCCCCUUGGUUUUAGCAUUGAGAGCAGUCGAAUUGCGAUUGCUGGUAAACUUUUGCUGCUUGUCAGAGAACAUCUCACUGCUAUAGUAUGGAUAGUGCGGCCAACUAGUCUGGUUCUGAUAGCUGCCAGAACGCGCACUGGAUCGGCCAUAUGAACCAUUGGAACUUGGCGUAUUCUUGUCUGCCUUCAAGGUCGAGUUUGAAUUUUUCAGACCUUUCACCUCAUCGACACCAACAGUGGAGACAUCCCCUUGCGGCGCCGGAGCCAAUUUCUCACUUUUACCAUUGGUCGACAGCUUGGCAGUAGAAUUCUGUUGCUUGUUAUAUGUUGAUGGGUACUGGUAAUCGUAACUCUGAGACCCAUAAAUCUGACCAUCAGACCCCAAGGUUGCAACACCAUAGGGAGCAUAGCCAUAGUACAUAUCAGCAUAGGUACCCUGAACCAUACAUGAAUAAAUAAUUACUAUCAGUCAAUCAAAAAUACACACUCGAAACACAUGAAGAACAUUUAGUACCAAUAUAUUUUUAUGCCCAAAUAACGAGGACGAGAACAAUUAUUCGAUUGAAUACAGCCUCAAGGUUGAAACAAACGAAAUUAAGGAGAUCAUUAUCUGUUGGUUCCUAGAAUAACAUAUCAAACAGAGAAGAGAAUCACUCACAGCAGUUGGUGACUGUGCUCCAUCAGCCAGGUAUGUGGAGUACUCCCCCCAGCCACCAUAGGCUGCAGAUCAUCACAAAAAAAAACAAGGACUUUGAAUAAACUGUUGGUACAAAUUCAAGCACCGAACACUCAGAACCGAACCAAAAACACCAUUACCUCCAUAGGCAUAAGCCGGGUAAGCACCAUAGUACAUGCUAGCGUCCUUGUAAUCCUGCGCCUGCAAGUUCUCGGCCCCAGGCUGCAAGCUCCCCACGGCGGUGGCGCCCUUGGCCGGAGCCGCCGCCGCGUCCUUGAAAUCCUGCACAUGUAGGCUCUCCAUCGCCGGCUGGAGGCUCUCUACCGCGGCAGCCACCACGGAGGCCUUGGCCGGAGGAGGCGCGUCCUUGUAGUCCCCCUGCACGUGUAGAGCCUCCAUCCCCGGCUGCAAGCUCCCCACAGCCGCCAUCACGCCCUUGGCCGGAGCCUGAAACGAUUGCAACAGCAGACAUGGCGUCAAACCACCCUGCGGCAGGCGCGGAUCUAGUAAAGUCGACGUCUUUUCGCGAAAAGGGUUAGGGGUUUAGUGGACAUCGAAGAGCCGAACAGCUUGAGGUGAGAGUUUGGGGACUCGGUUUCGUUCGCGCAGCAGACAGGGGAGAGGAGGGGGUGGGGGGUACCUGGUGGGCGGUCUUCGCCGGCGAAGAGAUCGGCGGCGGUGGCACAGGCAGUCGGCGCAGACAGAGGGGGAGAGAGCGCGGGCUCACGGCGGCUGGAGUCUGGGAGGGAGAAGAUGAGGCGGACUGGUGGCUGUUAGGGUUACUUCGCUGUAUAUAUUUCCGCCCCGCCUGGUUGGUUGGAGUUGGGCCUUUAACGGGCCUUGUCCUUUCAAGCUGAGACGCACAUCUAGCCUGCAUGGGACGGGUUAAUGGGCCUUCUGUUGUCAUGACUUUUUAGUUUCUUCUCUCUCUCUCUCUCUCUCUCUCUCUCUCUCUCUCUCUCUCUCUCUCUCUCUCUCUCUCUCUCUCUCUCUCUCUCUCUCACAUUUACUUUUUAUUCUUUUUAUUUCAUAUAUUUAUCCUCUCCAUGGCACACCAUCAAUGGCCACUGAAAUAUUGGUUUCAAAUACGAGAAAAUAAUAAUAUUUAUUAAUCCAUUGCAGAUAAACAAAUAAAAUAUUUUUAUUUUCAUAAAGGAUGAGCAUAAUCUCUCUUUUUUUUAAAAAAAAUAGAAUAUGUUUUACUCAAACAUAUAACAAUUUUAUGAACAAAUUCUCCACACGCCGAUGAGCACUCUACGGGUUUGGGAGGGAGCUCGUGAGUGUAUGGUGGCCUUGGAAAAGGGUUUUGGGAUGGCAAGUUGAGGAUCGCCUUAGAAAGGAGGGUCGGCCGGAGAAGGGCGGUAGGUGGGUGGAGCACACAAGUAUGGGAGAAAAAUUGAGUUAAGAGGAAGAAGAGGCAUAAGUACCAGUACUGUUCAUCAACUGGAAAAAAGGCAUCUAAAAAAAUAACAGCUCCCUUUCAAGAGAAUUCAAACACCAACAAUAAAAAAUAAUUUGUUUUCCUUAUUGUCUCAUACCCAUAGGAUGCAUGUCGAGCAGCGGCAGUGUCCUUCCUUCAAAACCGUACGUUCAGUCAAUCUUGAUGGGCGCCUGCUGCAAAAAAAAAAAAAAAAAAAAAAAAAAAACUUGAUGGGGAUGGGCACCUCUCAUGUUUGCUAGCAGUUGCCCAAGCGUCCAACUCAGGCCUUUUUUUUUACUACUCAAACAAUGAUAUUGCACUCUGUAUUCUGGAAGCGUCCAUGUUGCCCAUUUGUGGAGGAAAACAAAAUGAACACAACACUGUGACUUCCAUCCAUCACUGGCACCUCAGAAAAGGUCUUUCUUGGCAAAAAAAUAAAAAUAAAAAAAUUCCGCUCUAUUUCUCUCAAAUUCAUAAGGUACUCAACUCAGGUCAUGGAGACAAAUACACACCCUACGAUAUACUAUGGCCUUGUUUAGUUUCAAUUUUUUUUUUGGAAAAUCGACACUGUAGCACUUUCGUUUGUAUUUGACAAAUAUUGUUCAAUCAUGGACUAACUAGGCUCAAAAGAUUCGUCUCGUCAAUUCUGACCAAACUGUGUAAUUAGUUUGUAUUUUCGUCUAUAUUUAAUACUCCAUGCAUAUGUCUAAAGAUUCAAUGUGACGGGAAUUUGAAAAAUUUUACAAAAUUUUUUGGGGACUAAAGAAGGCCUAUAUAAUUUUUACAUGGCACGGAAGGUAGUUUUUAUAAAGACAGCCAGAAAUAUAGCCGGAGUGAAACAGUUAAUCCAACGUCAGUAAUACAAGUUCACCAAACUUCUGUCAUGAAAAUGGAACCUGCAGCAAUGAAUUUUGUUGCCUCCCACAUGCCUGUGCUGCAGUACAAUGCCAUCAAUUUGGGAUGAUGGUGGGUACGUGGUAUACAUUUUCUUACCAUGUGGAAGUUGUGCGAGUAAAGCAAGGCCUUGUUUAGUUCUCUCCGAAAAGCAAAAAGUUUUUAAAAUUUCUUGUCACAUCGAAUCUUUCGGCAUAUGCAUAAAGCAUUAAAUAUAGACGAAAAUAAAAACUAAUUACACAGUUCACCUGUAAAUUACGAGACGAAUCUUUUGAUCCUAGUUAAUCUAUAAUUGGACAAUAUUUGCAACAAACAAACGAAAAAUGCUACAGUAGCGAAAUCCAAAAUCUUUUCGCAUCUAAACAAGGCCCAAGUGGUUAGCAUCCAAGUGAAAUAAAAGAACCUCCAAAAACAUAUUUUGUGUUAUUGUGUAUAAUAUCAUCAAUAACUUAAGUGUGACUAUGGGAGCUCCAACUCCCAAAAUUCAACAUUCUAGAUUUUGGCCUGUUGAUGAAUCAAAAUUUUGUUGUGAAUUUAUUGCCUUGGAUUACCAUAUCGUGUGAUGGGUGGUACGACAGCGUUAAUAAAUAAUAAGGCUUUUGUCGUGCCAUUCUGUGUUUGGAUUGUGGGGUAAGUUAAUUGAACAGUAUGGCACGACCCAUCAACCUUAUGGGUCAUGCCUUAUCAGGUCGUGUGCUUUAGAGAAAUUUCAAUACAUAGGCUGUGUUUAGUUCCUGAAAAGAAAAAUUUCGCGACACUGUAGCACUUUUGUUUGUUUGUGGUAAUUAUUGUCCAACCAUGGAUUAACUAGGCUCAAAAGAUUGGUCUCGUAAAUUUCGACCAAACUGUGUAAUUAAUUUUUAUUUUUGUCUAUAUUUAAUAUUACAUGCAUGCAUCUAAAGAUUCGAUGUGACGGGAAAUCUUGGAAAUUUUUGUAUUUUCGGGUGGUGAAAGUAAACAAGGCCUAUUAUAACGCGUACAGUAUACAUUGAAUGAUGGUAGAGAUCAUAUGUAUACCAUAUAGGGGGUUAGCUAGAUGCGCACAUGACUAACUAGUAUGGGUAUGUAUGUGUGCAUAUGCGUGAUGAAUACAUAUAUAUGCCAAGUUGCCAACAAGAGGAGGCAUAUAAAAGGUUGAGAAAAGUGUGGUCGGUCGUCACAGUGGUCACACUAUUUCUUUAGCCACCUCAAUUGAAUAUAUAUAUAUAUAGAGUCGAUGGUUGCUGGCUGAUCGAGAGAGUCCUGUGUGUUAAUUAAGUUUAUCUAGUGCAGCAAAAUGAGAUGCGUGCGUGACAAAAAAGUGGGCAUCUGUUUGGGAGUAGGAGGCAUCUGGGAGUAACGUUCAGGGCUCCAAGAUUCAAAUGCGAGCUACCAUUCUACAGGGCUUGGGACAUCUGUGUGACUUUGAUCUUUCGAAGCUUCACGCAUCACCCGGUCUGGUAGUGUAGCCUACACCGCAGGGGGCAAAUCCUUUAGUAAAAUAUUUCCUCCGUAUAUGAUUUAGAAGUCGUUUUGAACAAGACUUGUGUCAAACAUUAAGAAUAUAAAUCAUCAAUAAUUUUUAAAUUAUUGAGUUUGCAAAUAUGGAAAUUAUAUGAAUAGAUUUAUUUUUAAAAGUACUUUCAUAAAAAUAUACAUAUAUUAUUGUUUAAAAAAUAUUUUUAUAAAAAUAAAAGAGGUCAAAUUUAUGUUUUGGAGACCGUGUCGCUGUCCUAAAUGACUUCUAAAUCUUAUACGGAGGGAGUACUACUCAAUCCAUCCUAAAUUAUAAAACGUUUAAUUUUUUUUAAUACUAAGUUUGACCACUCUCUUAUUCAAAAAAUUGUAAAAAAAUAUCACUUAUUUUGUCGUUGCUUGGUUUAAUAAAAGUUAUUAAAAAAUGAAUUAAAACUGAUUAUGUUUGUAUAAAUUUUUUGAAUAAGAUAAGUGACCAAAUUUUGGAAAAAAGUCAAACGUCUUAUAAUUUAGAAUAAAAAGAAUAUUAUAAACUAAAAUUCCCCAUAUUAUAUAAUAAUAAAGUUUAGCAUGAUGACCCUGGCGAUGUUCUCAGCUACAUUCGCCCCUGUCACCUCCACAGCCACACCAUAAGAAACACACGUCAAUGCGCUCAGGGCUGUGAUGGCCUCCUUCGACCACGGCCCCUUGGAUAACUGUUGAAGAAAGCCUCCUAUGCUUCAUCUCCAAUCUGCUCGUCUGCUGGUGUUAGGUCAAGCUGUUGGAUUAACCGGGCUGUGGCACGCCAUGCCACAGGAAUGCACGAGCUUCAGUCUGCUACUACAAUGACGACCUGUUGGUGCGCCUCGUGGCUGUAGCUGUGCUUGUUUGCACGAGAUGUCUUCAGUGGCAGUUGAUGCCGGUUGACAGGUGCCUCCAACAAGACCUGCCUAACAUUUUGAGUUUAUGUGGACCCGCCUCAACAUUGUUCUGCAUUUGAAUAGACAAUUGAUCGAAGUGCAAAUCCUACAAUUUUUGGUCCACAUAAACUGCAAAACCAAUUUUUUGGGGCAUGCUAUUUGAAUAAAUGUUUCACCUAAACAAAUUUCACCAAACAUAUGACUGAGUGGAGGUUUUCUCAUUUGUUAAUUUUUAAAUAGUUAGCUACCACCACACUAUGUUCCUAACAGUUAGCCUUCGUUCUGCUCUUCGAAUUGUCCUUGGUUGCUGCGAGAGCUGCCAUUUAAGUGUGAGGAAUAUCAGUUGAUGCUGAAUGGUGGGAAGGUUGAAGGUAAUUGUCCUUGUACUAUUCAACUGGAAAGAGGUAAACCCAUAGGACCAAAGGGGACUCUAACUUGAUGCUGGGAUCCAGACGACGUAACAUUCAUGAUUCUUCUUAAACCUCCACUCAAGAAAGGCAACAUGUUGUUCUGAAAUUAAUACACGUGCAAAUGAUCAAAUUUCUCUUCUCAGGCUGUUUGCUGCUGCUGAUGAUGAUUUCAGUCUGUGUCCAUCUGCUGCUAUUGCUUGUGUAGUCCUUUGUCGUUCACGAGUCCAUACACUUUCAAUUCAAUUGACGUGUUUGUGUUGAUUGAAGUAGCUGACACUAACAGCAAGGUUGUCUCACAGUCUAAGAGAAAUAUGACAUUCAUCACAUUCAUGAACUCAACUCUACACUGAUGAGUGGUUUCACAGACUCACAAUAACACCAGAUGUUAAACAUUAACCCUAUGUAAUACUUUUCUAGGCAGCUGACAAAACGUGGAUUGAGAGGUGAUUUCUGAAUUUUGAUGAUGGAGUGGUGCAGAACCAAGUUCUGAAAUUAGUACUACUUGUAACAUAUGAUUCACUGGUAAAGAGGAUGAUUCUACUGGAGAUGGGUAUUCAUCUCAGAUCGUUGCCUGCUACUCUUGAUGGGGUCGAGGCUCAAGUGUAGUCUUCACUGGUAAAGAGGAUGAUUCUACUGGAGAUCUGUAAGUGUGAGCGUGGGAGCUCCAACUAAAAAAAAUCAAUGUUGUGCCCUUAGAUCUCUAGCCAUGUCCUCUGUGUUGACUACUCAAAAUUUUCUUAUGAAUUUUAUUGCCUUAGAUGACUAUAUGUUGUGAUGGGUGGCACGACAAGGUAAAGGCUUUGUUGUGUUGUUCCAUCUUGCAUCGUGGGGUAAGUUAAUUGGGUGGCAUGGCACGACCCAUCAGUCUUACGUGUCGUGCCUAUCAGGCGUGUGCUUUACAGACACUUAAAUAUACUAUAAUAUAAUGUGUACGGUUGUAACGAAUAACUAGAGACAUCACAAUGCUUACUAAAAAACCAGUAUAGGGGUACCUCCGUACCUGCCUCUGCUAACUCAAACCUAUCCCAUAUCUAAAAAAGAAGCGUAAAAUCUAUUAGGCGACGGGUUGCGUGGGGCUGCACACCCUCAUAGCCCAUGAGCCCGACGUGACCUUGCGACCUGUGGCUUCCUCUUCCACCUUCGUCGUCAGAGACGAGGUAGCUGGUUUUAAGGUUAGGGGCUUGGGUUUCCAGAGGCUCCAUGGCAGGCAGCCUUAGAAGGGGGAGGGGCCUGGCGACGAGGUGGUGGCGGUUCGACUGGCGGCGAUAGGGGUGCCCCAAGUGGGCAGUGCUAGACACCUAGUUGUCCUGGGCUGAUGGCGGGGGUGACGAGUCAAAGCGUGUCCUUCGAUUGGGAUGAGUUGAGGGUGGAGUGGAGUGAUGGGAUGGUUUGGUAGCCAUUAACCGGGGGCGGCACACAAGGAAGGCAGGGGUGGGGUAGGCGAGCCAUGAUGUGAGGACAAUGACGAGACUGAGCGUGUAGAAGAUGGGGAGGGGUCACACUCUCCCAUAUAGCGUGAUGGGUCACACGUUAACACACUCCAAAAAAGAAGACACAUGCAUCAGUGUCAGGCAAAACAAAUUGAUGUCAUAGAUAUGGGAUUAGAGACGUGUCUAUUCGCCGCACAUCUCUGUUUUGUUGUUGUCCAAAGUAGCCAUAUGUCUAAUAUUUCAGAAACACGCCUCUUUGAAUCCAGUCUAUUCCAGGGAAUACAUCAAAGAUGGGUGCACUUUUAGAGACGAGUGUAAUUUGGCAUAGGUCUCUUAUUUGUUGUGUAUAUACUUCAGAUUAGUGGCAGACGAUGUUUUCCUGUGUCUCUCAUUGUUGACUAUGUCAGGGGCGCUGUAUCACGCCUUGUCACUGGUGUAGACACUUAUAUCAAAGUCUUGUUAAGUUAAUAAGAGCCUCUAACUGGUCACAUGCCCUGCGACUUGCUACACAUGUGUUCUCCCUUCCAUUUUAGGCUUUGUUGGGAUGUAGUCGGAUUUGCAUCAAUCCACAUGUGUUGGAGUGGAUUAGAGUAGAACUUAACUAAAUUCCACCCUAAUCCACUCCAACACAUGUGGAUUGAGGUGAAUCCGACAACAUCCAAACAGGCCUUACUGUCAGUCUGCCACACGCGUCUAAGGCAUUCUAGCUCGAUCGUAUCGAUCUCCGCUCGACCCUCCUGGGUGCAGAGCAUGCUCUGCCCUUCACAUGUAUGUCGCGCAAGCACACAUACAUUGAGGGUACGGUGCGGUGCAGUACUAGCUAGUGAUAUGCUCGUGGAUGCUUAAUUAGCAAAAGUUUAGGAUGCUUUCUCCAUGUCAUCAGUUCUGCUAAUUAAUUGUUCAGAGUAAAUGUUUUAGAGAGCCGAGCUACUCUUUGCGUUCCUCAGAAGCUUCUGCUAAUUGAUUGUUCAGUAGUGCUUAGUCAUCCAAAUCAAGCUGCUUGCAGUGUGCAGUCUCGAGCUACUGUACACUAGCCAAUGCUUGUUUUAUUUCAAUUUUAAUACAAUAUAUCCUGAUAUAGCCAACCAAACAAACGAUCUAUUUUUUUUGAAAGAUCCGUUACCGGCUUUCAUUGAAAGAGAUAAGAGCAAAUUACAACAUGAGAUAGCGGCACAAGAUGCGCCACUAUCACUGUUUCGCCCAGGACCCAGAAGGCUGGUCCCAAGCCAACCCCGAGAAACUAAUGGUGAUUUACAUUAAUAAUAAAAGACAACAAGUAAAAGGAAGUUUCCUAAAUGGUAGGAACCAAUGUCAACCAUUGGUGAGUAAGCAGCUCUAGGUCUUGGUUCCCUACCGUUGUCCAGUUAUGCACUGCAUCACGAAUGGAAUGCACAAUUUGCUGGACCAUCUUGAUUGUUUUCUUGAAAACAUUUCUUUCCAACCAUAGCUCCCAGAUUGUAAGGAUGAUGACUGAACCCACACCAGGGCGAACUGAUUCGGGAGUUUCAGCAAUCAGCGAAACAAACCAAUCUUGUAGGUGCUCAGUUUGAGUCCAGUUUCCAGGCAUCAAGGAUGGCAUAUGAAUCCAACACCCCACCUAUUUCCAGAUUUCCUUGGCCACUGGGCAUUCACAGAAAAGAUGAUGUGCUGUUUUCAAAUUCCUCAGACAUAGUUGACAGAAAUAUUCAUUUGGCCAUCCCCUUACUUGCAGGCGGGCUGCUGUCUAGAUUCUAUUUUGCAGCAGUAGCCAUAAGAAGAACUUGCACUUCGGAGGGGCUUUGAUCUUCCAAAGUUGUGUUGCAUACUCACACUUAGUCCUUGCAAUGAAGUGUGCUGCAUAUGAUGAGCUGGCCGAGUAGGAGCCAUCUGAUGUCAGCACCCAUUUGAUGGUGUCUUGCUGAAAAUCAGCUUGUGUUAUGUCUUCUAGCAAUACCCAAAGUUGAGUGUAUUCGAUGAUGAUCUCGCGGCUUAGUUGUGGUCAAUAUCACUGAUCCACAUAUUGCCAGCUAGCGCUUGGGCCACCAAUCUAUUUUUCCUUUUGCUAUGUUUGUACAGUAGUGGGAAUCACGUAGCCAGAGCUUCACCAUUAAGCCAUCUUGAAUUCCAGAAGGAUGCUUUCUUACCAUUUUCAAGCUGGACCACUGUGGCUGCAUUGAAAAGGGCUCUAUCUUCCUCGGUUAUAGGAAUCUACAGGCCUUCCCAAGGUCUUGGUCUGGUGUUCCAGCUGAACCAUAGCCAUCUGAGCCUAAACGAUUGAUUAAAAAGAUCGAGGUCUUUGAUGCCUAGACCGCCGUUUGGUUGUGGUGCACAGACUCGUGUCCAUGCCACCUUACAUUUACCUCUAGUGAGUUCCACAUCUCCAGCCCAUAGGAUUUUUCCCUCAGCUUAUCAAUUUCUUUCAAGAUUGCUUUGGCACCUUGAUCACUGUCGGUAGAUAAACCAGCAACGAGCUGAGCACAUAUUUCACCAGCUCUCGCCGACCCGCAACAUUGACAAGUUUUCCUUGCCAGCCAGCUAGCUUGCUCUUAGCUCUGUCUUGUAUGUAUUGCAAAUGUACCAUUCUCAUCCUCCCAAGAGUGAGUGGCAGGCCCAGGUAUUGGAUAGGAAAGGAGAAUCUUCUUCCUGUGAAGUCACCGAGUAUCUCAUCCUUGUCGAGAUCCUCACAUCUGACUGUGGCUACAGAGCUUUUUGCCAUAUUUAUAAUUAGUCUAGUAGUCUCGCCGAAUGCCUUCAUUAUCCACGUGAUGCACCUGAUAUCUUCCUUAAUUGGGUUGGUGAAAUCAUGACAUCAUCAGCAUAUAGAGAGAGACGAAGCCUGGCUUGUCGUCCUUUAAGCAGAGUCAAAUGUCCCUCUUCAGCAGCAAUGUCAAAAAUUAUGCUCAGCACAUCCAUCGCCAAGAUGAAUAAAUAAGGCGACAGAGGGUCGCCCCGUCUUAAUCCCCGAGCAUGCCUCAGUUUCGAACCUGCGCUCCCAUUUAGCAUAACCCUUGAUGAAGAGAAUCUGAGCAACACUGUUAACCAGUUUGUCCACCUUGUACUGACGCCCAUAUGUCUCAACAUCUCUAGGAGAUACUCCUAGGAGACAGUGUCGAACGCUUUACUGAUGUCCAGCUUCAUCAAGCAGAUGGGGGUUUUAGUUCUGUGGUAGUGUCUCGGUAGUCCUCUGACAUACAUAAAGUUAUCUUGAAUGUACCUGCCCUUGAUGAACGCACUUUGUGAAUCAGAUAUUAGUUUAUCUAUGUAUUUGGACAGCCUAGUAUAGCUUCGUCAUUUGGAUCACGUUGGGCAAGAUACAUCUAACUGGUUGAUUAUUUUCUUAUUUUAGGCAUUUAAUAUAAAACAAUUGUAAGCAGUAAACCAUGAGAACAAGAACACAAAUCUUGAGCACAGGUUUGAAUUUCCCCAAGUUCCAGCAAGCUCAACGCGAAGGCGAUCUGAUCAUGUAACUAGUUUACAAUGGACUAUAAGAUGUUUACUUAGAUUGUCCAGUCUGAAUUUUACUAUUCAGCCUUCACUCAUCAACCAUACAACUGUCCACACCGUGCCCUCCCCAAUGUACAAUUUUUGCAAUGCCUAACAGUACCAGAGGUGAAAGCAUGGCAAGAUUGUUGGAGAAUCAUGCUGUGAUAUUCAUAUAAGUUCUACUUUUUUACGAUGGUUGGAAAGGUAGCAUUGGUAUUUCCAUGUACUUUUAUUUUCUUUAUUUUUCCUUACAUCGAUUUGAGAAAGUUUAUUUAUAAAAGUUAAUGUUUGUUGUUGAGGGUAUAUAAGUAAUUGUCCUAACUUAUCAUAUGCUCGCACAGUUGUAGAGGCCGGAUAGUUUUUAUCCAUUAUCUAAAAAAAUAAGCUCGCACAGUCUGCAGUCUACCCAUAUUGUUUCUUCUCAUUGGCUGUCAUCGUCCUUCAAGACUGGCUUGCCACACGCGUACACAUUGCACGAAUAGAGACGAUGGAUCGGUUUGCUCUCCGACUGAUACUACCAUUUCUGCAAGAACUCGAUCUUUGUGCUGAGAGCUUGCGAUAGAGCAUCCUGAUUGCAGAGCUGGAUGUAUGACCUUGUUCUUGCUUUGAAACUAGGUCAAAUUGGUGCAUAUGAUCUACGCCAGAUGCAGGAUUCAUUCGACCAAUGGAUUGAUCGAUCGGACCAGCCAAAAUUUUCCUUUGUACCAUAGGCAAUGGUGUUGCCCUACGUGUUCGUGCAGGGAUGCGGGAGAUUACGAGCUAACGAUCUCCUGAAUCUGGCUACUCGUCCUGCUGCGGCCGGCUAGCUAAGUGCCUGAGUGGAUGGCAGCGGCCACGCCCACCGGCAGAGCUUGUCAUUACACGUGAACAAAGGAGGAAGAAAAUUCCUCAAGUUUAUUGGUAGAAUGAUUCAAUUCCAUAUACUAGCACAAAUUUUUAACAUGUGAGAAACGUGGUUGCUGUGAUGCAUCAACUCAUUCCUUCUGCAAACUAAGCUAAGAAAUAAAUAGUGAGAAGAUCAUGGACUAUUUCAUUCCUCAAAGCAAACACCUAUAUAAAACUUAGAUAUAGACUAUAAUGUCUAUAAUUCUAACGAACAACAGAGGGAUCACAAUGCUUAUCUACACAAAAGUAUAGGGGGCUAAAUUAGCUAGAUGCACACAUGACUAACUAGUACAGACAUGUAUGUGUGUGUAUAUAUACCUGAUGAACUACAUGUAUAUGCCAACAGAUCGAGAGGAGGCAUAUAAACGUGGUACAUAUAUAUAAAGAGGCAAAGCGUUGUGCUGUCGUCAGUCAUCACACUAUUUCUUUAUCCAUGCACAUGAAUAUAGAUAGAGACGAUGGUUCUGAGCUGAUUGAAAGAAUCUUGGUGAUUUGGAUAAGUUUAUCUAGUGCAGCAAAUUACAAUGAGAUGUGUGACAAAACGUAGGCAUAUUUGUUUGGGAGUAGGAGGCAUCAGGGAAGGUAUCAAUCAGGGAUACAAGAGCAUGACAUGCUCGCUGAAGAUUAUACGACGAGUGGGCCAUUCAUUAGGUUGUGGGACAUCUGUGUGGUUUACGGGUUGCUCUUUCCAAGCUUCAAGCACCAGGCGGUCCUGCAGUAUAGUCUCGGCGUCUCGCUGUGCCAUUGGCAAGAGCGCUUGAGUCCUGGCGCGCGGUGGGUUCCUCGUGGAGUUUGUUCAGCCUAGCAUACACGCAAAGCCUUGCUGUUGGAAGACUGAACUGAUCUGAUGAAUCAACAAAACAACUGAACUGUGAAUUAGGGGAAGAUAACAUUCUCUGAUAUAUCAGUGCAUCGCUUUAGGCUUUGAAUCUUGUUUCUGGUAGGUUCCUGUUAGGUGUUAGCCGCGGCAAUUAACUCAACAGCAAUUCACCCAUCUAAGUCUUUGAUUCUAUCGUCCUUGUUUAAAUAAGUGGCCAAACUCGAUUACAUACUCCAUGAUUUUUUUUCUUUGAAAGUCCAGGAGAUUUGCUGAAUUUAUAUUAGCAGAAGAAAAAGAAAACAUAUACAGCUUCACAUACAAUCAUCCUUCUUAGGGUACGCACACAACCAUACUCGAUUCGCCGCUUACACCAAAAGAGAGAAAUGAAGAAAACAACAAGCCCCUCCACGACAGGAAGGAAAAACAACACUAGACGGCCCACUAACACUACUGCAAUAAGCCUUUUCAGAGGCGGUCAAAAAACAUUUCGUAAGGCAGGCAGACUACCGCCUCUGAUUCAUGGUCAUUGUUAAUCAGCUUUUUCAGAGACGGUUAUAAAUUAUAAUAUCUGUCUCUGUAAUAAAUAGAUAAAAAGCCAAAAAAGGCAAACCGGCCAACUAGAUUUCUUUUAGUUUUUCUUUUUUUCUCUCCUUUACCUUUUAUGCUUCUUAUUUCAUAUUUAUCUUCUUCAUGGGACACUAUAAAUGGCCACUAAAAUAUUGGUUUCAAAGAAGUGAAAACAACCAAAUAAGCAAAUGGAGCAUUUUUAUACUUCAUUAAGGAUGAUGAUAUUUUUAUUUCAAUUUGAAACCUCUUUUUUACUCCACUAGCUGGCGAGUGCUCUUCGGGUUCGGGAGGGAGGUUGUGGGUAUCUGGUGGCGGUGGCCUUAGAAAAGGGCCUUGGGGUGGUAGGUUGGUCUCGCAGAGGAGGCGGACAUUAGCAACCACUAAUCGCUUCAGCUGUAGCAGUGCCACUUGGCUGGUCAAUUGCUACUGCUACUUCCUUCGAUGAGAUCCACAGGUGCAACUAUGGGAGGUCCAACUCCUCCGGCGAACUGCAACGAAUCACGUCAUGCAUGUACAAAUUUUCCACAGUGUCUUCCCCAAUGUACAAAUUUUGCUAUGCCUAGUAGUACCCGAGGUGAAAGCGCGGCAAGAUUGUUGGGGAAUCAUGUAGUGACAAUUCAUUCACAAAAGUUUUAACAUAGUAUUUGGUUCGAAGAACCACCUCAUUCUAGAUGAGGUAGUGCUUCAUGAAUCUAUUUCUUAAAUUUGGUGGAACAAUUAUAUUCCUCAUACUAGUAUAUUCUUGAAAUUUUAUGACAGAUUAAUAGAGAACUUAAAAGAUGCAUAUCUCAUUACUUUUUCGAAUUAGACACUAUCAUCAACAUGAUUAAUGGGUGAUUGGUUGAUAAAUGUAAAGUAUUUAGUACAAAUGCAAAUGCAAAAAUAAAUAAAUUAUGUCCUUAGAAUCCUUUAUAUUUGAGUAUAAUUUUUGAACGCGUGUUUGUGGCUUUGUGCUAUAUUAUACGGUAGAGAGAGUACAUUGUUCCUCAAACUAAAUAUCAUAUAAAACUUAGGAUAGCCAUAAAUGUGUGCUGGGUUGUAAUGAGCAACUGGAGAGAUCAGUGCUUAUCUACACAAAAAUAGCUAGAUGCACACAACAGACUAACUAGUAGCACACGUGUAUGUGUGUAUAUAUCUGAUAAACUACAUGUAUGCCAACAAAAUAGGAGGCACCAAAACUUGGGUACAUAUAUAAAGAGGCAAAGCAUUAUUGUCAGUCAUCACACUAUUUCUUUAGCCACAUGAAAAUAUAUGUAGAGACGAUGGUUGCUGGCUGAUCGAUCGGGAGUCAGUGAUUUGAUAAGUUUAUCCAGAGCAGCAAAAUGUGAUGCGUGACAAAACGUAUGCAUAUAUAUGUUUGGGAGUAGGAGGUAUCAGGGGCCGGGAAGUCAUUCAGUGCUCCAAGAGGCAAGAGCACCAUAUGCUCACCGAAGACUGAAUGGCGUGCGACAUCUAUGUGGUUUAGAGGUUGCUUUGUCCAAGCUUCACGCACAGGGCGGUCCGGCAGUGCAUACCUGCAGUCUCGCUGCCAUUGAUAAGACUGCUUCUGACUUUCUGAGUCCUAGUAGGGGAAAGAGCAAAAAAAGGCGUACAUGAAGUUUAUUCAAACGAGCAUGCAAAGCCUCGCUGUAUGAAGACUGGACGAAUCUGAAUGAAUCAGCGAAGAACUAUGAUCUACAAAUCAGGGGAAGGAAUGAAUCAACGAAGAACUCUGGAUUCUAUGAAUCAGGGGAAGAUAUAAUUCUCUGAUCAGGCAUCGCUUUGGACUUUGAAUCCAGUAGCUAGAUGUCCCCAUAACAGUGGCCACGAACUCAACACUGAUUGAUGACCCAUCUAAGUCUGGAUUCUAUCCUUCUUGGUUAUAAAUAUAUAAGAGGCCAAACUCGAUUAUAUACACUCCUUGACCCUUUUUUUCUUCCAAAGAUCGGCAAGUGAUUUGCUGAAUUUAUAUUUAUAGAUUAAAAAAGAAAAAUAGAUACAACUUCAUGUUACAAUCCUUCUUAGAGUGGCUACACAAACUAUACACAGGCAUCGUUUGGAACUUCUCCCAGCAGGACCGGCUCUAUGCUCAUAUACACAGGGAAUAAAUCUGGAUGGAACAACAUUACCUAGCUGAUCCAUCAUAAUCUGUCGCAGGCAAGCAGGGGCCCAGUUUCGCCGCCACUAACACUACUACAGAAACGAACUUCCGUGAAGUUGCUACUGUUCACUCCGUGGCGGACGUUUUUUUUUGCCCGCUGCUGUAAAUCAUGUAAUUUACCGCAGCGGGCACUUUUAAUUAACCGUGACGGACACUUUUGCCCGCUGCGGUAAAUCGACCGCAGCGGGCAUCUUAAUAUGUCCGUCACGAAAAAUAUGUAUUUUCCGUGGCGGACGUAUUAAGAUGCCCGCUGCGGUAAAUCAAUUUACCGCAGCGGGCAACCUAUCAUGCCCGCCAUAGUAAAUUUCGAAGCCCAAAUAUAUAAGGUCUCUACCUGCUGCUGUUGGCAUAUACAUGCCCGCUGUUCCUAGGCGACGGCGGCGAGGCGCUGACGGAGGCCGUGGCGGAGCUGCUGAGCCCUGUGGGUAUGCUCCUCCUCCCCGUCUUUGGCGGGUCCCUGACGCCGUCCACCGCGUGGGAGGCUCCCCCGUCGGCGUCGCCUUCAUGCUCCUCCUCAUCCUCGCCUUGCUCUACUAUCGCUCCUCGCUCUGCCCACCUCCUCAGGUGGAACGGACGGAGCACGGCGGCACGAUGGCGCAGAUGGAGCCCGGAUCCACGGCGGGGAAGGCGCCAAGACGCGGAUCCCCCUUUGUGUUGACAUGAGGUACACCGCUGCUGCU
rnacentral:lncRNA from 1 species